UCUUGAAUGGCCUAAUUGAAUUCCUUUUGAUAUCUUGACUUUCUAGAACCUCUCUUUGGUAUUUAGGAUAAUAGGAUUAGUUGCUAACCACAUGUGCAGUUAUCUUGUAAAUUACAUGGUGCCCUGUCACCUAUGUCCUAUUAUCCCCUUUGCAUAUUUAAGCUUGUAUUUAUAUACGAACAGAUUUUUCUCUUAGAUGAGGCGAUUUAAUGACAUUACCAGCAACUUAAAUUCCUAGGAUCAAUCAUGUUUUCAUGACAGGUUCAAUUGUUUGUUGCCAUAUUUUACUCUCAGCUUACUAUGUUAUCCUACCUUCCUGAACUGCAUUGUUGUUUACUAAAAUCUAUUUAGUAGUAUGACAAAAUAUGUUUGUUGUACGCAAUGUUUUCUGAUGUAGCUCUGAGGCCAUUCUCAUUGGAAAAUUUCAUAUUGACAAUAGAGCCAGAUAUGCAAUAGGGUAUAUUGAAAUGAUGAAUGAAAUGGUCCAGCAUUAUUAAGUCAUCCGAUUAAUCAGACUGAUCGCUCCUAUGACUCUGAUAUGACUCUGAUUAUGACUCUGGAGAUUCCUCUUGCAUUCUGUUAAAAAUAUAUGCCCUAGUAUUUAAUUGUGCAUGUUUAGCAUAGCUCUUAGCUUUUACGAACUUAAUCAGAUUAACAUCAACUUAGUUUACUAGGAUCAUGUUUUCACAAAAAGUUGAAUUGCUAUUUACCAGAUGUAAGUACAAACUGACAUUGUUGCCUAGCUUUCCUUAAAAAGUUAACUGUCAAAAACAAUUUGAGCAUAUGAUAAUAUAUCUUUAGUUUAUCAAUGUUUUCUGACGUGGUUAUAAACUUUUUGUCUGCAAACAUUCAGAGCACUCUUGAACUUUUCUGUCCUGCAGGAAAAAACCUUAUAGCAAAAUGUCUUGACCUUUACAUAUGAAUUCAUUGUUUGCUAUUAUAAUGUUUGCUUUAAAGUUUACUGGUCCAUGUUUAUUUUGUAUAGCUCUUAGUCUAUGAGACUUGGAACUUAGCCACAAGACAAAAAAAACAUUGUGCAAUAGGCCAGAUGGAUGAUACAAAGAAGGUUCUAUUGGUGGAUGGUGGCGACAUUGAUAAGAUACUAAGGCUGGCUACUCAAAACCUUCACUAUGUUAAUGUACUUCCUUCCAUUGUAAGUUCUAUGAUUUCAGUACUUGAGCUUUUGAGUAAUCAAACUAAGCGUUCUUUGCUGGGAAUAUCCUUUUCUGAUUAAAACACCAUUCUGCUUUCAUGAAACGCAGGGCCUCGAUGUUUACAGUAUCCUCCAGCAUGACACCCUUGCAAUGACUCAGGCCGCUCCGCUGGCAAGGAGCGUUCUGCGCAGAGCACUGUUGCUUACCACCGGCAACUUAAAGCCUGCGUUCGCGGUCCGCUGAUGAAGCUCGAAGAUUUCAAGUUAUCUCGGUGCUAACUUGGAGCUGCAAUAUCUACUGUUUAUUUUCUGUCAGACAGGAGUUACCGAGGUAGGGGGGAAAUGUUGGAACACUUCCGUGGCUUCUUCUUGCCCGGACUAUGAUGUCCUAGUUUUGUAAUUCAAUAAUAAUAAGAUAUGUAGCUCGUGAUUAUCAUCGAUGGCAUGCAAAAAUGAAGAGAAAGUGCUCUACGACAUUCAUUGCCUUUCCGUGCUGUUAAUCUGAGCCAAUUUUCUAUAUCCAAUAAAAACUGUUGCCCGGACAGCAGGUGUUGAACAGAUGGCCGGCAAGAGUAGCUGUAAUGGAGCAAAAAAUAGUAGUUCGAUCGUAAAAUCUAUUUAGGUUUGUUUAAGCUUUAACCUUGACUCAAUAUUUAGAAUUUCCAUGUAGGCUGACAACACACGGUUGACGUUAAUACAUUUGUUGAGAACAUAUAGUCCUUGCAAAGGAUUAGAAUACAGAGCAAUUGAUAAAAUGUGUAUAAAACUAUAGAGUAUUUAAAUGGACAUUGUGUUAUGAAUAAUACAGAAAAUGGUAAGAUAAUCAGUUUUGAUAAUUAGUUGUACCCACUAAAUUCAUCCACUAAACUUUAAUGUUUAGCUAGUAUAUAAGAUUUUAGAGCAUGUCGUAAUACAUAUUGAUAGGCUAGUUCAUACUAACAUGACAGAGCAAAAUCUGGAGUGCAAUUCUCACUCACAAUCACAAAGCCACAAAAGCUGGUCGUGAACCAUGAUUAGGGCCUAUUUGGUAGGGCUUCUCUUCGACUUCGGCUCUAGUUCCUUCGCAGCCUGCCAACAUUUUCAUGAAGGAGCCGUUUUUCCAAUAAAAAGUAGAAAAAACGAAGUUGUUUUAGAAAUUGUGACUCCUCUAAAACAGCUCUAGCUCGAAGGAGCCCUCGAGAGGAACCAUGCCAAACAUCCCCUUAAUUAGCUACUAGUUGAUUGGUUUAGGCCUUGUUUAGAUGUGAAAAAAUUUUGGAUUUCGCUACUGUAGCACUUUCGUUUGUUUAUGGCAAAUAUUGUCUAAUCAUAGACUAAUUAGGGUCAAAAGAUUCGUCUCAUGAUUUACAGGCAAACUGUGUAAUUAGUUUUUGUUUUUGUCUAUAUUUAAUGUUUCAUGCAUGUGUCGUAAAAUUCGAUGUGAUGGGAAUCUUAAAAACUUUUUGUUUUUUUACGUGAACUAAACAAGGCCUUACCCACACGACACAAGCACGAGCAACUAGACAUGACAGGAGUUGUGAGUGAGGAAUAAUCUAGAUCUAGUGACCAGACCACACGGCUUGAUUAAUGCGCUGGACGUUGGCAUGGAUAUUGCUAAAUUGAAGUGUAGUUGUACUAACCACAAUUAAAACCCCAUGCACGACGGGCACAGGGCCGGUUGAGGCUGUCUGGCAGAGCUGCUCCAGUACGGGCGUCGGGUGGACGUGACAGGAGUUGUUGGUCUCUCCCCGGGGCCCGGCCCGGCCGGGAAGCCUGGCACGACAGGGUUUUCUCUCACGUACGCAAGACCUAAUCCUGCCGUCCUGCGUGAGCUGAUUAACCGGACCAUGCGUGUACGUGAUAUAAACAAAACGAUAGGGGCAUAUAUAUAUCCAAGAGACCAAAGUUAAGCAGGUGUGGUUAGUACCAUUCAGAUUACUAAAAGCCUCAAAACGUCUCCUUGAACCUCAAGAUUAUGCAUACCUGCUCAAGUCAUAAGAAACUCUUCAAAAUAAAAACUGUAAAAUUAUUCAAAAGUAAAAACUCAUGAAACUGGUUUCAUUUUUUUGAGUUAUAACAAAUUAUGAAUUUUAGAUAUUAUUUUUUUUGUAUUGUUAAAUGCACGUUUAUUUCAAAUAUAUAUCUAGAUAUUUUUUUAAAAAAUCAUAAUUUUUUAUAAAGUCUAAUUGACCUCUCUAAACUAUUUUAAAAUUUUAAUUUACCUCUCUCAUAGCUAGCGUGGCGCUAUGUAGGACGGUUAAAGUGGUGCCACGUAAGCAACAAGUAAGGUAAAUUGGACGGUUUCAGAAAUUGUAGUAGCCUAAACAUCCCGUUUCUUAAUUGAGGCAGGUAAAUCAGACUCGCAAAAUAAUUGAGGGUGGUUAAAAGGACUUUUUCUGCUAAAAAUGAACCGCGGAGUGGAGGAGCCGACAGAACUGUUAACUGUUAUUAGAGGCUUCACUGACUCUUGCUACCGUACCACUAAAGUAUUGCUACAGUAAAGGAGUCAAAGCCAUAACCACACCGAACCAACCCCUGGCAGGCCCACUGCAGCCCUCUACACAACAUAUCGCCUAUACAGAGAGUGCUCCGGAGGAAAAGAAAAAUGUGCCCUUAAAUCUCUCUAUUUUUUGUACAAUUAAUUUAAGAAAUGCUUUUCUUCCCACAAUGAGGUCACCGAUUGGUACUUCUUUCGAAUUGUAAGAAAAAUAUGUCCACGUUGAACACCAUGCCAAUGUUGUUCAUAUGGUACCAUAUAUAUUUACGAAUAUAUGUAUUCAAUACACAGGUUAAUUUUAUAUCUAGUAUGUGAAUGUGAUGAUAAUUCCCCCAAGCGCUCCCCUUGGGUGACUCGGGGGGUGACCGCCGUGGCGCCCGUAGGCCCCCACCCCCUCCCGGCCCUCCCCUUCGGCCGCCUUAGCCGCCCACCGGCAUCCCUCUCCCCCUCCCAAUCCUCUCCCCCUCUGCGGUGGCCUGUAAAAUGGUACCCGCCGCGUCCUCCCCCCUCACUCCUACAUCCCUCUCCCCCUCCCAAUCCUCUACCACCAUGACUUCCUCGGUGCUUCUCCGAUGGGCUCCUCGGCCGAAGACCCGGAUCUAGAUUCCUCUAGACUGAAUUUGGUGUUCUCCUUGUUGGUGUGAUGGCGAGGGUCUGGCGGUUGGGCCUGGGCGGCGGCUUCUUCAUUGAGUUGGUGUGGCAAGCCUGGCGGCGGAUCUUGGGCUCACGUGUGCAGAUUUGGCGCCUGCAGCUCUAGUGCCGCCUUCGGGGCCUCUGGUUCUACACCGCCCCCUAUAGUCGCUGCCAUGGGGCGCUGGUGGAUGUGGCCAUUGCCUGGGCUGCACUUGAUUGGCGGCCAGUUCCGAGGUUGCCACUUAGCAUGUCAGCAUCCUCACCACGGGGGCCAUCAGUCACGGGCCGACAGCCUCCGUCAGAUGACGUGCUAUCACUAGAUCCAACUAUCGCUACUCGCCCUGAGCUCGGAUCCACGUAGUGUCGGUGUGUCGUGGCUGUCACUAGCCAUAGGGCCAGACUCGCAUGGGGUUAGAUUUGUCGACCAUGGCUCUCACCACAUGGAUGGUCGAUGCACUAGGGGCUGGUGCAAUGGGGCUCAUGGUGAAGUAGCGGUAGGCACAGGUUUUAGGUGAAAGCUCAACCCGGUUUCUACCUAUGGGCGACGGUGAUGCCUUGGGCGCAAAUAGCUCCUUGGAGGCGUCGCUUCUAAACCUCGUGCUUUUGUGCCAACAUCACCGGAUUCUGGGCGAAAGCCCCGCCUUAGAACCCUCUAAGGCCAGUGAUGAUGGCAUCUAGGGUCGUUCUCUUGGGUGCCACCUCCUUCCUGAAGGCGCUGCUGAAGAAUCCCCUACAGCCAAUCGCUUGUCCCCCGUGUGGUCGGUGUAAUUUGUGGUUCUGACAGUUCUCUUCAAGUGGAGUUGCUCUUUGUGCCUGUGUGUGCCUUCACUCUACUCGCUUGGGUCUAUCCUACAACUCUUGACCUUGUCGUCAUCGUCUUGCUUCUCUGACGGAUGCUUUGUCGUCGUUGUCAUUGGUAUCCUCUCCGACAUUUGGUGCCGAGAGUGUCACGGCCGCUCCCCUCUAGGGAUACUUUGUCGUAGGGGGUCGCUUCUUCCCCGGCGAUCCUUGCCGUCAGCGGAACUCUUGGUGGAUGCUUUGUGCGUCGUUGGCUCUUGGGUCCCCUCUCUGGUAGAUGCUUUGCUGCCGAGAGCGUGUGGACCCUCUUUGUUAGCGGAUGCUUGGCCUCCAUGGUCGCUUGGUCUUCGUUGGCGGAUGUUUUGCCGUUAGAUGCUCCUAUGUCUUAUCAGGGUGGAUGCUUUGCCACCACGGCUUGGUUUAUCUUUGGGCAAUUUUUAUUGCAGGAUUAGUUGUAGAUCUUUAGUGUUGAGGGCAGUCGCUUUUCUUUCUUCUCUUCUUUUGUUUCUAUGUUUAUUCCUUUAUGUUGUCUCCAAGACGUGUACGACUCCUCGCCGUGACUCUCUUAAGAGGUUGUAAACUUUCCCACUUCUCUUAAUGAAGCACAUGCUAUUGCACAUUUUCGAAAAAAAGAAUGUGAUGAUAAGCAACUUUAUUUACGGCAUUCGAAGUAACUUUUACUUUUGCGGAAGGGAUAGGACAUACUCCUACUAUAGGCGGUGUGCCCAUUCUCAAAGAUACCACAUAGUAGGAGAGAAGCAAAAAAGAGUAUAAGGUCUUGCUUAGUUCCAAAUUUUUUGCAAAAUGGACACUGUACCACUUUCGUUUAUAUUUGACAAAUAUUGUCCAAUCAUAGACUAACUAGACUCAAAAGAUUCCUGUCGCAAAAUUACAUGUGAACUGUGUAAUUAGUUUUUAUUUUCAUUUGUAUUUAAUGCUCUAUGCAUACGUCUAAAUAUUCGAUGUGACGGAGAAACAAGGCCUAAGUAGAAGUUAUUAAAAAAAAGAGCAACUUUAGGGUAAUCUAUUACCAUGCAUGUAAUAUAUGCAGCUUUCGGUACGCCUACUAAACCAUGAUUGCGUAUACAUCAGGCUAAAAGUAAAUAAUUAACCGAUCGGUCGACUGUUGCUGACAUAUGAUUAGUAUUUCCUCCUGCGCGUCGCGUUCUGCAUGCUGGCUAGUGGCUAGUGGCUAUCUUGCAUUGCUUGCUUGAUUUUGACCGGCCGGAGAUCGGAGUAGUUUUGGUCGGCCGCCAUGCCCCAAGCUGCCGAGUUGUGAAUAGUUCGUGUCCUUUCGACGCUGACGUGGACGCGUAGCAAGUCUACCUGCCCAUGGCCAAACGCGGUUAAACAUGUCGGCUUAUUAUUUGUCUAAUCACUUUGUCCGGCCUUGGUUGCAUCAUUAGGUGGCUGUGAUAUGUGUGCAUACUGACUGCACACGUGUGGGGUCAACAGUCUAGGUAGCUAGUACUGCAUGCAUGGUAGGUCAACUUCUUCGAGCAUCGCAAAACUCGCACCUAGUACUCAUAUUUUUAUUUAAAAAAAGAUGUGUAUUAUUCACCAUAUUACUACUAGAAUACUGGCCGGUGCUGGUUGUAUCGGCGUGGUUGGAAAAACCGAGAAAGAUACUGCGCGAGAGAAGUCAACUGUUGUAUCUUUUAGUAUCUGCGUAUGCAUGUGACGUUCACAUACAGCCGUGCCAUUGCAAGAGUGUAAGACAUCCAUGGAAACACACGAUGUGCUCUCGCAUAUAUAAGCAUAGCGAAAAAUGUCGGGAGAAAGCAAAAGAAAAACUGGCUACUUACGGUUCGGUGCAGUACUGAAGCUAUACAAAGCACGACUAGGGGUGCAAAUGAGUGAUGAUUAGGUGCACCUCUAAACCUUUUUAGUUUAAAUAUUUAUACUAUUUUUCUAAAAAAAUUAAAAAGUAGUACAAAUAUUUAAACUAAAAAGGUUUGGAGGUGUACCUGAAGGUUACCCCUUUGCACCCCUAAGCACGACCCAGUGUUCCACUCGGCGUUGUUUGGCCGCGCUCGCCAUGGAUAACAUCAUGCAUGCACACUGUCCUACGUAGUUUUUCCUUUAUCUUAUAAGACGUACUCUUUCUAUUUUAAAUUAUAAGAUAUUCUAAAAAUUUUGGAGAGUAAAAAUAUUUUAAAUUUGACCAAAUGUAUAUGAUAAUAUAAUAACACUUAUAAUAAUAACUAAGUAUAUUAUUAGGUUCACAAAUAGGAUGGACGAAGAUCAAUGUUGAUGGUUCGUACCAAGAACAAUCCAGAGCGGUUGGAGUUGGGGUUAUCUCCAGACACAGCAACGACGUUGUUCUAUUCACAGUCUGAAGGUACUAUGAGAAAUGUGUUAGCGUGCCAGAGGUGGAAGCUUUGGCCUGUAUCGAAGUCUUACGUUGGGCACACCAUUGAAGUCUUGCUCACUUAAAUAUUGAGACGGAUUGUGCUAGAAUCAAAUCAGCACUAAACAGUAGUGCCCAGACAUAUCAGAGGUCGGACCCAUUAUUAAAGAAGUGAGAUGCUAGAUACGUUUGAUGUGGGAGUGCAGCAUCUCCCAGAUGAAGAGAGAUGGUAAUAAUGUGACGAAUGCUUAAGCUUUAUAUGCUAGAAAAUGUAAACACUAUGCGGCUUGGUUGGUUCAAGCCUCCUGCAUGUGCCUUGAACUCAAUCAGUGCUGAUUGUAAUUCCCUAUUUGUAGCUAAUAAAUCUCUCUCUUCACUCAAAAAAAUUAUUAUUAGGUUUUUUAUUAAUUAUAUUUUCAUAGUAUGUCUAUUUGAUUCAUAAAUCUUUAUAUUUUUUUCUAUAAUUUUGGUCAAACAAGAUCAUGUUUACUUGGCUGAUAAGCUAUGGCUGAAAUAUUGUUCGCUGAUUUGUUGUAAGAGAAAAACACUGCUUAAUGACUGACAGAUUCGACAUAUAAGCUCAAUGCUCUCAAAGAUUCUUAGAAUACCUUAUACUUUAGAAUAGAGGGAGUACUUUUUGUACCAGCCAACAAUGUUUUCUCUUAUAAUAAAUCAGCAAAACAAUACUUUCAGCCAUGAUUUUUCAGACAAGUGGAUAGACUUAUUAUGUAGUACAUGCCUUGUUUAGUUCCCUUACGAAAACUUUACGGGCUAUUGUAGCACUUUUGUUUGUAUGCGGCAAUUAUUGUCUAAUUAUAGACUAACUAGACUUAAAAGAUUUGUCUCGCAAAUUACAAAUGAACUGUAUAAUUAAUUAUUUUAUCUGUAUUUAAUGUGUGUCGUAAGAUUUGAUGUGAUGAGAAAUCUUAAAAAGUUUUUUUUUUUAUCUUUUAGCUUUUGGGAGGAACUAAACAAGGCCACAGUCAUAACCGGUUAUUGACAUACCGAACAUAGGAGUAUGCAAUAGCAGCAGCACCCACGAUCUCAGCACGCUUUGAUGUAAUUAAUGAACCCAAUUAGUACUGCUAUUAAAUAAAUCGACGAUCACCUGCUGCUGCUACGCCUGCCUGCAAAGUCAAGAGCUUGGAGACCAGACAGUCCAUAGAGAGACAACCUUAUGCCAGUGCCUGCCUCGUAGACCCGUUGCACGCACGGGGCCACACCGCCAGAGCAGCAUCUGCAUCCUGGCACGCCCAGGCCAAGUUCGCCGGUCCAUGCGGCCGGUGCAGCGAGGCGCGUGGCCUGGUGGUGGCAGAGCCGUUGGGAUCGGUUGGCUGCCUCCGCGCCACCGUUGGUUGCUAGCGGGUCGGCACGGCCACACAACGCACGGAUCUGAGUGCGGAGUGCCGCGCUCCCGUCCACAUCGCGCACCACCCCAGUCCACCACCACCACCACCACUAGCCGUUAUGUCCGCCUGGUUUCCCUGGCCCUGUUCCAUGAAUUCUUUGUUUUUCAAUAAAAUAUAUAAAUCCUUCCCAUCCCGUCUUUUUUUUUGCACAAACACACACACAUCGUGAUAAAUGAUGCUUUGUAGCUUUAAGAGCGUUGAAAUUGAAUAUAAGGGCUACUUAUUACUAGCUACCUAAAAAUUAGUCAAAAAUUAGCUCUAGUGUGUCUAAACAAGAGGGCAUAUCUAAGAACAUGUUUGGAUCAAUUAGCUACUAAUAGUUAGUUAGUUAGUUAGUUAAUACUCCCUCCAUAUAGAAAAAAAUCAAAUCCUAAAGUUGUCCUAAAUAAUUUUUUUAAAACUUUGACUAGAUUUCUAGAAAAAAAUACUAAGAUUUAUGAUAUCAAAUUAGUAUCAUUAGAUUCAUUAAAUAUAUUUUUUAUAAGAUGUGCAUUUUAUGUCAUAGAUAUUGUUACUUUUUUCUAUAAAAAUCAAACUUUAAAGUUUGACUAACACGGAUUCUAGGAAUUGAUUCUUUUGCGGACAAAGUGAGUAGGUCAUAACUAUUAACAUCUGCUAUUAACUAUUUUGGUUCAACUUAUGAAUUAAUUGUAGUUAACUAUUCAGCUAAGAAUUAGCUAAACUAUUAACUAGACCUAUUUAGAUUUAAGAAACUAAGAACAUAUUUGGGUCCCCUCCUCUAAACUUUAAGCUCUAAAAACUUUAGAGCAGUUUAACGGAGUUUUAAGAUCUAAAGAUGUAAUGUGAGGUGCACCUAAAGUUUAGGACUAACUUUUAGAUCACUUGUUUGGAGAUUUUAGCUCUAAAAUUUAUUGGAUGUCUAAAGUUUAGAGGAAUGGAUCCAAACAACCCCUAAGUAUUAAACAUCUGAACCUACUCAUGCGUAUCAAACAGACUGUAAAUAUAAAAUUAUAGCCCCAACUAGCAACUAGUCAAACAUGCACUUAAUAUCAUAUUGUUAAUUAAUUUGAAGGAAACACGGAACCGACUCUAUGCCUAGCACAAUCCAAGCCAACAAAUAAAAACUCACACACAUGUGAAAAAUGGGGUUAAUUUCCGGUUAUGAUUUCACGUGCAAACCACACAUGUAGAACCCAGGCAGGCUCUAAACAUUCGUUAAAGUUCAUAUCAGAAAAAAAUAACGCAGUAAAAUGUGGUGGUGGUCGCCUCAAGACCGAUCUCAUUUCCAUAUAUUGAGGCAGGUGCUUGUUGGCCCAAAGAAGACUCAUGCUUUUCAUCGUUUUAUUCUAAACAAAUCGCUGAAUUUAACGUGGCAUUAUUCUUUGCACAUGCAAAAUCACUUAAAGGUACUAAUGUACUUGCUCACGCCAAUGGGCGGAAAAGCAUCGAUACUUUUAGUGGCGGGUGGUCAACAAUAUUGGUAACCGGCCCUUUUGUUAGCCUGAAUACAACAAGACAUGAUAGAUUAUGCAUGGCCAAAUUAUUUGUCAUUUUGGGACACCAUAUAUAUAACAAGCAAAUUCUUCAAAACAAAGCCAAGUUACGGACUACUAGAGAUUUAUUAAAUGAUUUUACUCUGUUCUACUAGCUGUUUUUUGGUUAAUAAUGUUAAUUUAUUGUGAGAAAAAAAUACAGUUUCAUAUCUGAAAAAUAGAAUUAAUUUUGGUUGAUAAGCUCAAUACACGUAUGUGUUCGUUUUCACCAAGAGUGCGUGUCUUAAUUUUCUUAUCUACUCCUGUCCAUGGAUUUCCCGCCUCCCUUUUUGGUCUUUUUCAAAUGUAACCUUCUACGUACUCUUUUUGUGCGACUGUAGUAUUCUGCUAAGGUCUUGUUUAGAUGCAAAAAGUUUUUGGAUUUUGAUACUGUAGCACUUUCAUUUUUAUUUGACAAACAUUAUUCAAUCAUGGAGUAAUUAGACUUAAAAGAUCCGUCUCACGAUUUACAAGCAAACUUUGCAAUUAAUUUUUGUUUUGUUUAUAUUUAAUGCUACAUACAUGUAUCGCAAGAUUUGAUGUGACAGAAAAUCUUAAAAAGUUUUGGGUUUUUGAAAUUACCAAAAGUAGUAUAUGCAGAGAGUGACGUAUGCAGGGCCGCGGCUAUAUCCAUCGGAAUUCAGACCCUUUUUUACCGUUGACCAUGUGUGGCAGGAUUGGUAGGAUCCACCAAGUUUGACUCUUAAAAGUCUCUGUGUUGAUUAAGUGUUACCACUUCACCAAAACCGGGCCUUGUUUAGUUUAAUUUUUUUUAGAUUCUCCAUCAUAUUAAAUUAUGCGGUGCAUGCAUAAAGCAUUCAAUAUAAAAUAAAAUAAUAACUAAUUAUAUAGUUUGUCUGUAAUUUUCGAGACAAAUCUUUUAAGUCUAAUUAGUUUAUGAUUGUCAAAUAUAAACGAAAGUGUUACGAUAUCUAUUUUGUAAAUAUUUUUGGAACUAAACAAGGCCCGGAUCAUUGUGUAACUGUCGUCAGAUUCUACUGCCAGAGGAACCCUGAAGUAGUGCUUGCUAGUAUCAGAUAUCUGGCCUUGUUUAGUUCCUAAAAAAUUUUACAAAUUUUUUUUCAGAUUCUUCGUCACAUCGAAUUUUUAGACGUAUGCAUAAAGUAUUAAAUAUAGAUGAAAAUAAAAACUAAUUGCAAAGUUUGGUCGAAAUUGACAAGACGAAUCUUUUGAGCCUAGUUAGUAUAUGUUUGGCUAAUAUUUGUCAAAUACAAACGAAAGUGUUACAGUGUCAAUUUUCCAAAAUUUUUUGGAAAACCUUCCAUUUACCGAACAUGUGCUAUCCAUCCGAUACACAAAAUUGGUAGGGUACCACAGCCGGUACAUUUUCUUUUUAUAAAACGGAAAGUGUUCCGAUAGAUUGCAUAUUGCCCAAAAAAAAAUCCAUGCUUAUACUUGUUUAAAGCAUCUUAUAGAUAUAACCCCUUCCUCAGGAAAAAAAAAACUCUAAAAAAAUUGGGACGAAACGGACAGAGGCUGAUCGAGUUGCCGUACGUUCUUAUCCAUCCAUGCAACGUCCGCGUGUCGACAGUUUAUUUCUUUAUCCAUCUAUCUAAUCUAUAUAUAAGUUCCGGAAAAAAGAAAUUAAAAUUCGUUGGCGUGCAAGCUGAAAACCAGACACCACGAAAUAAAAUACUGAGGAGAGCGGAGACAAAGAAAGAAAAUUAAGUGUGCGAAACUUUAUUUUAAAAAAACGGUUACGAUACUUAUUAUCUUUUUUUUUGUGGCAAUACUUAACUAGCAUCGUAGCUGUAUUUCUAUUUGCUAGAUCCUUGGAUGUUGGCACGAAUAGUAGAGAAAAUUGCGUGUGGAAAGAGCUAGCUUCCUCCCGAUCGAUCUAGUACCACAAAAUCUUGGAGGUCAAAGGUCAGUGUUGAAGCUUGAAACAGUCGUCCAAAACGAAACGGAUGUAGUCUGGGCUUGUAGUGUAGUUUAGGACUUUAGGGCCACUCGUGUUCUUUUUUUAUUAGAAAAAAAAUCUUUUAGCUAAUGGAUUACUCAACUCUUGAUCAUCAAAUUUGGUUGGUGGAUACAUGUUCCUCCAUAAUGUUUUGGACAUAAUAAAGAUGUAGAAUUACAGAUUUUACUCAAGUCUACAAUUUAUCUUCUUUUCUUUUGCAAAUCCUAGUACAUACGUUCAUGCAUGAACAUUCACCCAUCGUAAAAAAAAUGAAUCAGUAAAUCUUGAGAUUCAUAAAGUAUGUUUAUUGUCGAUGGGUACUCGUGUACUACUAGAAGAACAACAUCAUCAUUAACACACCGAAAUAGAUCAGGAAAAAAAAUACGUGUGAGAAUCCAUGAUAUUCGUUCACUUGUCUUCCAAGCCGUAUUUUUUCUACCAACCAACAGUGUUGUUCUCUUAUAAUAAAUUAGUGAACAGUAUUUUCAGCCAUAAUUUUUCAGACCAACGAACAUGAUCCAACAAACUAAGCUACCAUGGGUUAAAAAGCAUGUAAUGUAAUGUAACUAAAGGUGUACGAUAGCAAAGGACGACCCACCACCAUUUUUUAUGAAAAAUAGUACUAAUCUGAUGCCAUUCAAUUUCGUAGAAACCAUUCGUUGCAACCACCCAAUUCACCUAUCGCUACUUGUGAAACACUAUUAACGGGCACAACCAAUGUGUACGUCGGCAGUAAAUUGGCCACCACCCCACGCACGCGAAUUCCUUUCCCACCCUCCAUCCCUCCUCCCCUCGUGCAACUGAAACCGCGUGCGCCUCCGCCGCCACGGCCACGGCCACGGCCACGCGCUCGCCGACUCGCCGCCCGCCGCCGUCCACUCGCGCGCCGGCCCUGGCCCGUGCACUCGUCAUGGACUCAUGGCCACGUAGGGCGUGUUUGGUUCCCCGCAUGCGGGCGAACCUGGCCCGUGGGAUGCAACCCGCACCUGUUUGGUAGCCUGCCUCCCCCUCCUAGCCAGGCUCCUCUCGUGCAAAUCCUCCUCUCGGGCCUGGCUCAGAAACAACGCCCGAUUUGGGCGUUCUUCUUCAGCCUGGCUCGCUCGAUGCUCUGGCGAGCGCGCGCGCGUGCCCAUCCGUGCACGCAGAGAUGGCGCGAAAUUGUUAGGGUUACCUCCCCCGUUCCCGCCAUUCACCGUCUAUAUAUCUUCCUUCCCGCCUCCUCUCUUCCUCUUCUUGUCGCUCCCCAUAUGCGCCGCCGGUUCGUGCUCCAUCUAUUCUUCCUCUUGUCCGCUGUCGUUCUUGCUUGAUUCGUGCCAAAUUAAUACUUCUCCUGUGUCUCGAUUUGUUGUAGGUGAAGUGGAUCUGAAGGUUCUCCAUUGAAGUGAUUUUUCCCCUAAUUUUUCUCGAUUUUGCUCUCCGAUUUGGAAACCGUAGGUCACCUUUUGUUGUUGCUCUCAUUGCAGGGACACCAGAUCUGCUUUGUUGGCUGUUUUUGCGGUAUGGAUCUGAGUGCUUAGGUCUUUUUUUUUGUUAUUUUGUAAAAAUCCAAUCUUUUAUAUGCUAAUCCCCUUUGCUUUGCUUUGUUUUUGUGUUUGCAGAUUUGUCCUCCCUCACCUGCUGUUGGGCUUUGGCUGGUGGCCCUGCUUGUUGACGUGGGUAUUUUGUACAUCUAUAAUCCCCCUCUCGCCUCUCUAUCUUGGAUUCGGAUGCAUGUCCUACUUUUUUAGAUUCUGAGCAAGUAUAUUAAGUUGCCCUUUUUUGCUGAGCUAUUGCCCUAGUCUAUGAUGAUGAUAAUUUUUUUCUGAGCUAUUGCCCAAGUCAGUGAUGAUUUGUGACCUAAUCUGAGCAUAUGUCAAGUUUUGGUAUAGCUUAAGUAUUUGUCGUUAAAAUGCAUUUUUUUUCUAGAUGGACCUGGAAGAGAAGCGACGCAUUCUUUUUGCUCGUGCUGGUGCUCUUAUCACGGCUAUGUAUGCCCUACUGUUUGCUAGGCUUAGAAUGAUUCAGUGUGAGCGUCCUGAGAUCAGUUAUGGUCCAAUGAGCAUUUGGGAUGAGGAGCGCCAAAGGAAUCUGAACUUAAUUUAUAACUACAAUGACAUAGAGUGUGUGAACAUGCUUCGUAUGAGAAGGGCCCCCUUUUUUAGUUUGUGCAACUUGCUUAGGGACAAAAAACUACUCGCAGACAACAUAAAUUCUUGUGUUGAAGAGCAACUUGCAAUGUUUCUUCAUAUUGUCGGUCAUAACCAACGAUUUAGAGUUGUCAAGCAAAACUGGAGAAGGUCUAUAGAGACAGUCCACCGCCACUUCAAAGAUGUCUUGUAUGCUAUUGGUGAACUUAGACAAGAGAUGAUUAGACCUCCAAGCAAUGACACACCACUAAAGAUUAGCAACAGCCAUAGAUGGUAUCCUUACUUUAAGGUAAAAAAAUUGUCAUAUAGCUGUUAGGAUUGUUGCAUUAGAUCAUGUUAAUUUACUAUAAAAUUUUGGAUGCCAUGUAGGAUUGUAUUGGGGCCAUUGAUGGGACUCAUGUCUAUGCUAAAGUUCCAGCCAAGUUGCAAGCUGCAUUUAGGGGUAGAAAGAAUGCCCCCACUCAAAAUGUGCUAGCUGCAGUUAACUUUGACUUGAAAUUUACCUAUAUCCUUGCUGGUUGGGAGGGAUCAGCACAUGAUGCCACAAUUCUUGCUGAUGCAUUGCAGAGGCAUGAUGGGUUAAGGGUUGCACCAGGUAACUAAAUCAAUUGUACACAUUCUGUGUCAUUCAUCACAUCUGAAGGAACCAUAAACUUUACUUAGCAACAAUUGGGUCUAUGACUCAAGGUGAUGGCAAGAAGUUUAUGGUCCUCCAGAUGCCAUGGGUGCCACAAACGUUUGGAAUUUGCAUUAUAGCUACCAUGAACCUGAUUGUUUUUAAUAUUUAUUUUAGGGAAGUUCUACUUAGUAGAUGCUGGAUAUGCUGUAAGACCUGGAUUUCUCCCUCCUUAUCGAGGCACUAGAUACCAUCUAAAAGAAUAUGGCAAUAGGAAUUACCCAACCAACCCCAAAGAGUUAUUUAAUUUGAGACACUCUAGUUUGAGAGUAACUGUUGAGAGGGCUUUUGGUGCUUUGAAGAAUCGUUUUCGCAUCAUUGACACUAACAAGCCAUUCCAUCCGUUGAGGUCACAAGUCAAGUUAGUUCUUGCUUGUUGUAUCUUGCAUAACUGGAUUCUCAGUUUUGGGGUCGAUGAGGUAGUUCCAGAAGAGUUUUCUUGGGUCCCAAAUGUUACUAAUAGUCAGCCCCCUCCUGCUCAUAUGGAUGACAAUGCAGCUUGGGCACUAAAGAGGGAUGAAUGGUCCAACCAUAUGUGGGCAAAUAGGGGUCUUUCAAGAAUCUAGGCAUGUUUGAGUGCUUUGUAACAUUAACAUUUUUUUUAUCAUUACUGCUAUUGUAAGAUUGUUCCUUUUUAUGUGGCACUACACUUGAUCUGAGGCUUUGGGCAAAAGCAAUGAUGUUCCUUUUUUUAUGGUACUACACUUGAUCUGAGACUUUGGGCAAUAGCAAUGAUGUUCCUUUUGUGCAGUGACUGCAUGAACAUGGUGGUCUUUUGAUGCAGUUCCUGGCCCUGUGGAGUGGUGGCUGCUUUUGUGCAUACCUAACUACAGUUGGUGGCUGUGUAGUGGGUUGACCUUCUCUUUUGUGCAGUUGAUCUGAUCCUGCAUUCUUUACUUACUAACACUAACAUAUAGUUAGUGUCUUAGAAAACCCUGCCCCUACUCCCUAGAUCAACCUAGCUGGUGGAGUCAUUUGAACAAUGUGAUGGCAAUCUGAGCAUAUGUCCAUAGCCUAUGUUGUGAACUUUGUUAUCGUGAUGUUUAUUUUGGGCACAUGCCUUAUUGCCUUUGAUGUUUCUUUUAUUAUAUCUGAGCACAUGUCCAUUGCCUGUGAUGUUGUUUGACUGAUCUGAGCACAUGUCCAUUGCCUGUGAUGUUUUUGGCUGAUCUGAGCACAUGUCCAUUGCCUGUGAUGUUUUUUGACUGAUCUGAGCACAUGUCCUUUGAUGGUUGUUUGGCCUAUGAUGGUUGAAAAUACAUUCUGAGGUGGCUUUGUUUCUCAGUUUUAUCAUGACUGUCAUCAGGACAUGGGAUACGUCCAUCCCCAAUGCAACAGGUGUAUAAUUUGGCACCUGAUGGCUGAGGAUGGCGUAUCCCAUGGCCCCAUGGCAGCCAUGAAUGUUAUAUUGUACCAGAUUGACUCAUUUUUUGCCACCAAGGAUGAAUGUCAAUAUACUCAUUUAGUUGGGAAACCAAAACACCUGAGGCCCCUUCCACAUCUUCAUGUUGCCUUGUUUUAUGUUUGGCCUAUGUUGAUUUAUGUUUGAAUGUAGGGGGAUGGCAUGGUAUGUUGUUCAUGUUGGGAGGGUUCCUGGAGUAUACUCUAGUUGGGCAAUGGCACAUGAACAAGUGCACAAAUACCCUGGGAAUUGCUACAAAAAAUACAGCACAGAAGAUGAGGCAAUGCAAGCUUUCAAUGGUGCAAAUGUGUUGGAUCCUCAAGAUGCCCCUCUACUUCUACCACUGGAGCAACCUCUGCUCCAACCAACUGACACUGAAGCACCUCAAGUUAUCCAAUAUAAUUGGAGUGGCAUUUGGGUCAAAGUUUUAAUAGCAAUAGUUAUUGUAGCGUUGUUAGGUUAUCUGCUUUUAAAGAUGUUGUAAUCUCAUUUUAUUUGCUUGUAAUCAGCUCAAAACUAAGUGAGCACUAAAAAAUGGUAAAGACUGGUGGUAACCAUACCACAACCAGGAAGUGGUAACUCCACCACCAUGCAUGCAGGCAACCAAACACCGUUUCUGCAUGUCCACAUUUUGAAUCUUCCGAAUAAGAAGUGAACCAAACACCAUCUUCAACUGGUCAGGCUGCUGGAAACCAGCCAACCAAACAUGCACCCCUGCAUGCACUUAGCCUGGGCAAAGAUGUCCUGGCUGGGCGGAUGCAGCCUGGCUCAGGGCAUAGGGCAACCAAACACGCCCGUAGUAAACCCGUAAAACCAAAAGUGCCGGUGCCACCCCGCGAAAGAGGUAGCAAAAAGAAAAGCCAUGUCGCGAGCACAAACGCGCCAGCCACUGGCAUGGACCAGCGGCGCAGGCACUCCGGCCGGGGCCCCAGUGCGUGACGCCGCACGACGCCAUCGGUCGCACGCACCAGGAGGUUUGCGGCACCACACCAGCACUCGGCACUCGGCAGUCGGCAGCGGCAGAGGGGCCCCAAGCCCAAGCCCAAGGCUACGCUACGACCACACGACACGGGAUUCCGACGCGAUUAGCCGCGUGCUCUGCUUAUCCGGCGGAUGCCGCCCUUGAUCCUUCGUUAACACUGGAGCUCUGAUGCGCGUCGUCGUCUUGUUCGCGACAGCGAAGGAAGCGGGGGGGAGUUGGUAGUAGAUCGAUAAAAGGGCGGCGUCUUUGUUUCCCAUCUUUCCUCACAAAAGCGAGAGACCCUGGUGGGGUGGGGGAUCACAGACAGACAGAGCAGCGGCUGCCCGGCGGCACCACAAAAAGCGUUCGUCGGGGCUUUGGAUUCCCAGGAAUUCCGUUCCAAAGCACCGCAGCACCCGCAGCAGCAGCCGAAUCGCGGGACCCCGACGCGCGCGCCGGACCGCCUGCGCACACCACCGCACAGCGCACGCACGCACGCACGCACGCCUACUCCUCUUCCUCCCCUCCCCUCCCCUGUCCCCUCCUCCAACCGUCCGUCACCCUCCUCCCGCCGCGCAGCAGCCAGAGCAGAGCGGAGCGAGCAAAUCCUGGGGCCGGGGGGGCUUUCGCACCCGCUCCGAUCUCCCCGGUGCUGGUGGAUUCGCUCGCUCCCCUUUUCUUGACGCCGGGUCGGGUUGGGUUGGAUUUGGUUGCGAGGUGAGGAGGUGUGGUUGAGGGUGGGAGAGGAGAGCGAGCUCGCGCGCUCGGGUGGUGGCGGAGUGGUUACUACUGCUUCCCCGCUUGGCUUCUUGCUCGCGCCCCGCUGGGCUGGGCCGUGUCGUGCCAUUAAAGCCGGCGCCUUUGGGUUUUCUUCUCUCUCCACCUCUCUCUAUCCGCCCCCGCUCUCCCACUCCCCUCUCCCUCUCUAGCUCCAGAUUGGUGCCUUCCUUCCCCCCGUCCUCCUAGCGGUCGGUGGUUGGAGCUCGACUGGGGCUCUGAGGUCCAAAUCCGCCGCCUUCCCGUGGCGCGCCCCUCCGGAAUUCUUGCCUUCUUGGGCUCCGAAUCUCGCCGCCGGUCCCCGCCGCGGGGGGGAGUUUGAUUCGCGGCGUUUCUUGCCAAUUCGGGGGUGAUUUGGGCCCCUGGAUGGCGAGGAUUUGAGUGGAUUCGUCGAGGGGAACAAGUGGAGGUGGGGUUCUGAUUUGGUUCGCCACUUCGCCGUGGUAUGUGCCAUGAGGAAGCUCUUCUUCUCCGAGUCGGCCUGCAAGGAGACCAAGCUCCACUCCGCGCCCCACUCAUGGCUGCCCCUCGAGAGGGGGAAGCUCUCCAAGUUCUCCGGCCAUGCCGCCGCCAGCUCCUCCAUGUAAGCCCCCCGCCCGUCGUUUGCUCUGCCGUACCUGAUUUCCGGGUUGAUUUCACAAGAUUGUGCUCUUUUAUGCCUCAAUUGUGUCGCUCAAGACUCGAUCUUGUCUUGGGUUCUGAUGUCGAUUUGGCUGUGAAGAAGAAUUGGCUGAUUGAGAUGUUCAUCCUCUUUUGUCUGUGCUGCAGAGAUUCCUUGAUGAAGAUGCCGGAGCCGGCGGUGCUUCCGCACUUCAAGCCGGCCGACUAUGUCGACAUACUGGCACAGAUACACGAGGAGCUGGAGUCCUGCUCUCCUGACGAGAAGUCCUGCCUGUACCUGCUCCAGUUCCAGGUCUUCCGCGGCCUUGGUGAGGCCAAGCUGUCGCGGAGGAGCCUCCAGUCCGCGUGGGAGAAGGCGAGCACCAUCCACGAGAAGCUCAUCUUUGGGGCGUGGCUCAAGUAUGAGAAGAAAGGGGAGGAGGCCAUUGCCGACCUGCUUAGCUCGUGUGGCAAGUGCUCGCAGGAGUUCAGGCUGCUGGAUUUCGUGUCGCAGGUCUCCACUGGGUCACAUGUGAUGAGCUAUGAUGAUGAUGAUGAUGAGUCUGAUGAGUUUCAGGGUUCUGCGGUGGUUCAUUUCCGGAUAAGAGAUGACAUGAUUGCAUGUGAUCGGAGGAAGCUCGCGGCUUUGUCAACUCCGCUUUAUGCAAUGCUUAACGGUGGAUUUAGGGAAUCGUAUCUGGAGGUCAUUGACAUGUCUAGAAAUGGCAUCUCCCCAAUUGGCAUGAGGGCAAUCAGUAAAUUCAGUCUAUCAGGAAGACUACCAUACUUGUCCGCUGAUGCUAUCUUGGAGAUGCUUGAUUUUGCCAAUAAGUUUUGCUGCAAGGGCCUCAAGGAUGCCUGUGAGCGAAAGCUUGCUUCUUUCGUCUCUUCAAGGCAAGAUGCUAUAGACUUCAUGGAGUGUGCUCUUGAGCUGGGCUGUUCCAUCCUUGCUGCUUCGUGCUUGCAAGUGCUCUUGAAUGAGCUUCCAGAGUGCUUGAAUGAUGAACAAGUGGUUAGGAUAUUCUCCUCUGCAAAUAAGGCACAGAGAUUGACAAUGGUUGGCAAUGCAUCUUUCUCCCUAUAUUGCCUUCUUAGUGAAGUCUCCAUGAGUACCAACCCGACAUCGGAUGUCACUGUAAGUUUCUUGGAAAAGCUGGUAGAGUCAGCAUCAGAUUCUAGGCAGAAACAACUAGCCUUACAUCAGCUGGCAUGCACCAGAUUUCUAAGGAAAGAUUACCCUGAAUCUGAGCGCCUGUUCAAUGCUGCCUUUUCUGCCGGCCAUCUCUAUUCGUUAGUGGGUUUGGCUAGAUUGGCCGCUCUGAGGGGUAAUAAGCAUUUUGCUCUCAAGUUUCUAGACUCUGUUAUGUCAUCUCGGUGGCCUCUUGGUUGGAUGUAUCAAGAGAGAGCACUAUAUUUGGAAGGUGAUAACAAGUUAGAAAAUCUUAACAAGGCUACAGAGUUGGACCCUACUCUUACAUAUCCCUAUAUGUUUCGAGCUGCAUCUUUGAUGAAAAGGCAAAGUGUUGAAGCUGCAUUGAUGGAGAUCAACCGGAUCCUUGGAUUCAAGCUGGUGCUGGAGUGCUUAGAACUGAGGUUCUGUUGCUACCUUGCUCUUGAGGAUUAUAGGGCUGCCUUAUGUGACGUGCAGGCAAUCCUCACUCUUGCCCCAGAUUAUCGUAUGAUUGGUGGCCGGGUUGCUGCCAAGCAGCUGCGAAUGCUAGUGCUAGAGAAUGUAGAGCAGUGGACAGCUGCUGACUGUUGGAUGCAACUUUAUGAUCGCUGGUCAUCUGUGGAUGAUAUAGGGUCCCUCUCUGUUAUAUAUCAAAUGCUGGAGUCAGAUAAUGCCAAAGGAGUUUUGUACUUUAGGCAAUCUUUGCUUCUUCUCAGGUAAAUAAAUUAAUUUAUGUUAUUCUUAGAAGAAUAGUUUGCCUAAUCCAGUAUUAUAGAGUAACACAAUAAUGGUCACAGUAGAUGCUCAUGCUAUUGCACAUGGUUUGGCAACUUGGCGUCUUGGCAUGUCUUACACCAACUAGUAUCAUGUGUCUGAAAGCUGGAAUGUUCUCACAUGUUUGUCUUGUCAGCAUGUUUUCACAUGUCUUCUGUGCUAAGUGCUAACUUACUGCAUGUUUUUUUAUUUAUGAUAUCGCUAUUUGGGGUUUUAGGAUUGAUAUGGUUUCAUUUUAUGUUACCAGAUUAAACUGUCCUGAGGCGGCAAUGAGGAGUUUGCAGCUUGCUCGUGAGCAUGCUUCAAGUGAUCAUGAAAGGCUUGUCUAUGAAGGAUGGAUAUUGUAUGAUACUGGCCACUGUGAGGAAGGACUGCAGAAAGCAGAAGCAUCAAUUGCAAUACAAAGGUCAUUUGAGGCAUUUUUUCUGAAAGCUUAUGCUUUGGCCGAUUCAAGUCUUGAUCCUUCGACCUCAGCAACAGUUGUAUCACUUCUAGAAGAUGCAUUGCGGUGUCCCUCAGAUAGACUUCGGAAGGGUCAGGUAAGGGCUCUUUUUUCCCUCCACAUUAUUUCCUGAAUUUCACUUAGCUAAAUGGACCAUGAAUGAUCAGGUGCCGUUGUCCUUUUUCUGCCUUGACAUGUUGCAUAAUGUUGGGAUUUAAGACAUCUUGUACCAAAAACAGGAAUAUAGUUGCCAGUUGCCACUAUUUAUUUAUUUAUUUAUUUUCCUAGACUUUCAUCAUUCUCCUUGGAAAAUAUCAAGUGAAAAUUUAAUUGCUACAUUUGUUGAGUAGUUGCUUUUUUUUGGGGGUAUUGCUUUCAUUCUUCACCUAUGCAUUUGUUCAGCUGCCAGGUGUUGCUAGAUUUUGUUAGGAAGUUAAGAUGUCCUAUUUAUUCAUUGACAUUGUUGCAUUAAGUAUGGGAAUGUCAGUUUCACUCUUAAAAAUGGUUGUCCUGUUUCUCCUAACAUGCAACUGAUCAACUGGAUUCUUGGGUACACACUAAGUUUAAUUUUAUUUUGUACCAAAUAGUUGGCCUGUUAGCGAGCAUUUGAUAUCAUUACUAUUACUGGAAGUUUUAACUUUAACCCUACAGAUAAAUGAAGCACUCCUUUCAAUGGCUAAUGAAAAUUUUUAUUUUUUAUUUUUUAAAAUACAUGAACUUGAGAAACUGCCCUGUUUAUGUCUUUUUGUCAUUCUAGUUUGAGAUGUGCAUAACUGCAACUUACUGAUAAUUAUCUAACAUCUUGUAGGCUCUAAACAACCUCGGAAGUGUUUAUGUGGAUUGUGGAAAGCUAGACCUGGCAGCUGAAUGCUACAUUAACGCCCUAAAGAUUGGCCACACCAGAGCGCAUCAAGGCCUUGCAAGGGUUCAUUUCCUUCGGAACAACAGAGCUGGUGCAUACGAUGAAAUGACCAAGCUGAUAGAGAAGGCCAGGAACAAUGCAUCAGCAUAUGAGAAGAGAUCCGAGUACUGCGACCGGGAGCUAACAAAAACGGACUUGCAGAUGGUCACCAAACUGGACCCUCUGCGAGUCUAUCCCUACAGAUACCGUGCUGCUGGUAAGCGCUGCUUCCUGCUGCAUGGCAUAUGCAGUUUCUUAUAAUUUUAGUAUGACAAAGCUGGGACGUGAUGUGAUCAUAGGCCACCAGAUUCAAGGCAGAUUGAAACUUAGGAUAUAAAAUUCUCGACACAGUAGUUUAUAAUUGUUAAUAGACGUAGCUCAUCUGCCCAACUCCAAGUGGUUUGUGCUACUUUAACGAACCAACUACCCUGGUUCCUAACAUGAGCUGGUGAGAAGUCAAUGUAGUCUGCCAUUGUCUAUGUUCGACUUGGUCAGUAGGUGUAACAACCAUAAUAUAUUUCCUUCAGUCCAUGAAUUAGCUCAUCUGUUCAUUGUUCUGUCACCUCAUUUGCUGACGCGGACUCUUUCCUAAUUUGAUUCUGGUGCUCAGUGCUGAUGGACAACCACAAGGAGAAAGAGGCCAUCGCGGAGCUGACCAAGGCUAUCGCCUUCAAGGCGGACCUGAACCUGCUCCACCUGCGCGCGGCCUUCCACGAGCACAUUGGCGACAUCUCGAGCGCCCUCCGGGACUGCCGCGCGGCCCUUUCGGUGGACCCCAACCACCAGGAGAUGCUGGAGCUUCACCACCGGGUGAACAGCCAGGAACCCUGAGCGAGCGCCCCAUGGUGUACAUACAGGACAGGACAGGAACCCUCAUAGCCAUACCAGUGUAUGUUUUGUACCAUACACAGCAGAUCAAUGUAAGGAUAGUAGAAAGCCAGUUUAGAUCCCUCCCUCCUCCCCUUGAAAACCAAACACCCCCAUUCCUUGUGUCCGGUAAUUAGAUGUGUUGUUUGCUAUAGCCUCCCCUUAGUAAAUUAUUGUUGUCGAUUGUGAUUAAGCCUCCUAAUUGUACCCACCAUGUGGCCCAGCGGGCCAUUAUGUCAGAAUCAAGAAGUUUUGACUGUACCACGUGUAUGUAAAUGAAAUGGGGAAAAGGAUGAAUGGAAGCUUUUGUCGGCGCAAAACUGUCAGGCUUGCAGGCAACUUGCCGAUCACUAAUUGAUUGCACAUGUGCAGGUUUAUGCUUUUGGUUGUUGAUUUAUCUGGAGGGUUGUUUGUUUAAUGCUAGUACCCAUCAGUCAGGAUUAGGAAUUUAGAAUGAAGUCAUUAUUGCACUGAUUGGGGGUGAAGACUGAAGGAGAGCAAUGGCUGACAACAGCUUCUGAAAAUGAAUGGUCAAUGGGUGAGGACUGGGGACAGGGCAGGGAGCCAGGGCAUCACUUUCUGAGGCUGAAUGGUCCAUGAAUCGGAACGUCUCCCUAGUGAUGGGGGAAAGAGAGAAAUCGUAGGAUUCCUUUUGCCCAUGAUGAGCAGCACUUGGUGGUGUGCUUGUCUCUGACGUUUGGCUACUCUGAAUUGACUGAUGCAUCAGGGAUUAGCAUGCAGUCACUGAUGACGACGCAAUGGAGUAUGAAGUAACAAGAGGAGCUUAGCUGAAAAACUAUGACUAAAAGUAUUGUUCGCUGAUUUGUUGUGAGAGAAAAACACUGUUCAAUGAUUGAUAGAUUGAAAAGCAACUUUCAGCAUCAUCCUUUGCUACCCUCAUUUACCACUUACAAGCAGGAGAUCUGCCUCGAGCUGAUGUUCUCAAAAUUCUUCUCUAAACACGCACUGUCCUCCCCUAGCUUUGCGCGUGCCUUUAUUUUUUCGUCGCAUCGUUCACAUAUUUCGUUGGUUUGCCUAACAACAAUCUCAACAAAUACGAUCCCAUGCGUGUCCUAUCACCAAGAUCUCCUACACAAAUUGAAAAUGGGAAAGAAGCUAAGGUGCGUCAAUUAGGUGAUUGGUGUAACCAUCCAGGCACACAAAUGACAAAAGUUCGAGGUCUUUCGCUGGCUUUCUUUUGUGCCCAACUGCCGGUCGCCAAAUGUCCAAAACGUCAAGAAAAUUGGCUUUCUUUGUGCCCAACUGUCAGUCGCCAAAUGUCGAAAACGUCAAGUUUCGGCUGCAAGCUUCCCUGUGCUGUGAGAGGUACAUGAAGAGAAAACGAUGUGAAUACGUUGAAUGUUUCACGGCUGACGGCGGUGCAUAUCGGAUGAGCAUGGAAUGAGAACGAACGAAGUAAGGAUAAGAACAACUAAGGUGAUGAUAAGUUGUUCGUAGUAUCGGCUUCUUGAGCACAAAAACAAGUUUGGAGAUGAAACUUUAAUUAAUUAGCAAAAGACGGAGAUGAAACGUACCAUCCUGUUUUUAAUUGAACAGAGUACGUCGUGAACUAACUUGGCUGGACAUCUCCCAUGGAACACAUUUUCACAACAAUAUUUUCACUAAUAAUUCUGAAAACCGCUUGUUAUAAUAUAUAUCAUCAACUUUUUGUAGUAUAACCGGUGAUAAAAAUCAUUUUCACUAACGGUUCGCGAUUGGUAAUAUUUUCACUAAUGGUCAUAGUAUGAGCCAGUGGUGAAAAUAAUUUUUACGAAUGGUUCUAAACAUAUGCUGGUGGCGACAAGAGGUUGCAGAUCCACAACUGCUACCUUCCUCCCCAUCUCUUCCGUUGUAGGUCCCUCUCUUUUUAUGUCUUUCUUAGGCCUUGUUUAGUUUGCAAAAAUUUUCAAGAUUCUCCAUCACAUCGAAUCUUUGGUCGCAUACAUGGAGUAUUAAAUAUAAACGAAAAUAAAAACUAACUGCACAGUUUACCUGUAAUUUGUGAGAUGAAUCUUUUGAGCCUAGUUACUCCGUGAUUGGACAAUGUUUGUCAAAUAAAAACGAAAUGCUACGGUAGACAAAAACAAAAAAUUUUCGAACUAAACAAGGCCUUUAGUUUCUCUGCUGCCUCCCACGCCGCUGGCGCACGCUGCCUCUUAUCUCUCUCAGUCUCACCCGCACCCCUCUUCAAUAGUACUAUUUUAAUUUUCAACCAUAAAGUUUGCAAAAGUAUAUGCUUAUGUUGAAAUGUGACACUUAAUCCUGAGAUUAAUUAUGAAAUUAAUUAUUAAUUAAAUUUCUGGACUCAUAUUUAUUUCCAACUAAAUAAGAUCUACAAUGAUUGGUGGCAACCUUUAUGACAUGUUCGCUUUAGCUUAUCUGCCGAAUCUGGCAGAUAUUUAGUAGUGUUUUCUCUUAUAAUAAAUCAGCGAAUAACCGUUAUGAUUUUUCAGCCAAGCGAACAGGCUCGGCCCAUAGCACAUAUAGAAAUAAGAGGAGAUGCCCGUGACGGCUCCACCCAAAUCAAACAAAUCAUAUAACCGGUCAUUAAGGCGCUGGAGGGUUUAGGAAGGCCGUCUCCCACAUCCCGUACUCUUGCUGCAAAUCUACACCAAGCUCUUCAUCGGAGAGUGUUCUAACUCUCAAUUGGUGAAGAUCAGUAUACCUACUUCAUCUACGUCAUCUCCAUCACAUCUCUAGUGACACAGAUGCGUCCAUAGAGCGGUUAGUAUCUAAGAUCUAUUCCACAUAAGAUUAAAUAGUGAUCAUAUUUAGGCUAAGUUAAAAUCUUGUUUAGUGUAAGUUUUAUUUCAACAGUUUACACUUAUUUGUUUCAAGGUGAAGAGCAUUGGAGGCCGAUGCACACACAUCCUACGUUCUUUUGUGAGUACCAACUAGAACUAUUCUGGGCUUGGGCCCAAAGCCUCCAUUCCUUAGCAACUGAAAUAUUAGGCCCACCACUACUAGGUUUUUCUUUUGAGUGACCACCAAUGCACUAGGCCUUGUUUAGUUUCCAAAAAAUUUUACAAAAUUUUUCAGAUUCUCCGUCACAUCGAAUCUUUAGACGUAUGCAUAAAGUAUUAAAUAUAGACGAAAAUAAAAACUAAUUACACAGUUUGGUCGGAAUUGACGAGACGAAUCUUUUGAGCCUAGUUAGUCCAUAAUUGAACAAUAUUUGUCAAAUACAAACGAAAUUGGUACUAUUCAUAUUUUGCAAAAUAUUUUGGAACUAAACAAGGCCUAGCUUGGGGACUUUGGUCGUGGCUCGCUAGCAUGAUUCAUGAUUCAUCUCCUAAUUUGGUUCUACUUAGGUCCUCUUUGAAUCUCAUGGUCUAAAGUUUAGUAGCUAAACAUUAGACCACUUUAGCUCUUGAGGCUCCAAACAUGAGAUAUAAAGUGAUGUCUAAAGUUAACCAUCUCACAAAAAUUUAGACCACACAAGUGAGGUAAAGUGGUUUAAAGUUUUAGUCCUCAACUUUAGUCAACUAAAGAUUAGGCAUGAGAAUCCAAACAUGCCCUUAAAUUGCUAGCUAAUGUUAUCUCUAAAAUCAAGCAGUAUAUUUUUCUCACCACGCAAAAAAUGCAAACCACGACAAUUUGCAUGUGUAUUUCGGCAUAAAUUAAAAGGAAAUAAACUUUGGCCACUUGAGUAUAUUUGAAUGGGCCACAUAAAUGGAUUCUUGUCUCGUAAAAGCAUCUUCAAUUUAUAAUACAGAAACCAAGAAGAAAUAGGUAGAAGAGGCUGUAUUCAAAUACAGUACUUGUUUACAACAUGCGCAGGCACAGACACGUACACCACCAAUCCUUUGGAAAACAGAAAUGAACAACAUGCAUGCGCAUAGCACAUAUAUGAUAUAUAUCAGGGAAUGGCGGCACAUGCACUGGUACGGUACGCACCCACGUAGGUACCAUAUUGGAUUUGGACCCACCUGGCUGUUGCUCCCAGGCAGCCCGCUCUGAUCGUCUUCAGCCUUGUACGGAUCAUCGAAUCAGCCUGUGGCUACGAAAGACACAGAUAUAUAAUAUAAGCUGACAUCAUAAAACAUUUCCUAAUUGCCGUAAAGAACUUCGAUAACUUCUUGUGGAUCUAAAAGUCGCCAAAAAUGGCAAACGUACAUACCUGUUCCAGACGUACUCAGCCCACCGUCACAAUGGGUUGGUUUGUAUUCUGAGCUAGCUGUUCCUGGAUUUUCUUCUUGAGCUCACCUUUCUUGCGCCUUGCUUCCUGGCCUUCUUCCUCAAGUAUCUUGUACUGAGUCUCAUGAUCCCGAGCGGCCCUUAUCCUGUCCCAAUCCAAAGGAAAGUAAACUCCAACCUGAACCUCGUUGAUGCUUGGGAGAAAUCCUAGCCCAGAAAAAACAAUUUCAUUGUUUGUUACCCCUGUGACCUGCAGCCGCUCCAGUUUGGGCAUUGCUCCUUCGUCAAAUUUGACUGAUUUGAUUCCUGACACUGAAAGCGUAAGCACCCUGAGGAUUCCAAAUGCUAUUCCGCCCUGUGGAGAUUUGAAAUCAAGUUCUUCACACUGAAACGAUGACCCUGACACAACUAGAAUUUCCAGGCUCGGUAGUUUGCCAAGGAAUUCCAUAGCAGCAUCGUGCUCCAAUAGCUUAGGGCCUGCUAGUUUCAACUUCACCAGAUGCUGGAGCUCCAUGAUCCAUACCGGCAACUUUUCCAGAUUGCCAUACAGCUUGAGGCUCUGCAGGUUUUUUGGAGGUGAGGAUAUCUCAUCCAAGCAACCACAAAAACCUGCUGAACUCGCCGACAGCGAUUCUAGUCUGCUGAGUUUGGAAAUGGCCGAGCAAAACACACGGCCAUUCUUCUUGUUGAUGCCAUUCACUCCCAACUUGCGCAACCCUGUGAGCCUUCCAAUGUCUUGUAGAACGUUCUUUCCUCUCCAGACAUUCACUUCCCUUAGUGUGUGCAUGUCUUUAAGUUUUCUGAUCCCCCUUGGCACCAUAACACCUCUUUUAUCUGCUCCCGUCACGUUUAAAGGGAAUUGCACGCAGCAAGCGAAAGUGCAUGCAUCUCGCCUGGUAAGGGCCUUACAGCUGGGGCCAUCAAUGUUCAAAAGAUGAGGUAAGCAACAUGUCGCACAAUCAAACGCCCCGCCAAGACACCUCUCCAUUAAACUAUCAAUUUCGCCCUGUGGGUAAUCUGAUUUUCUUCCAGCAUGGAUGUACUGUAGGUUCUGUAGUUUGAUGAUGGUUUUUGGCAGAGCCUUUACAUAUGUACCUCUGAUGUCUAGUGUUUGGAGUUGCCUUAGGUUGCCCAAUGAAUCGGACAGUAGAUCAAUACCCAAGCAUCCUCGUAGAGAAAGGUACUUUAGGUGAAUAAGCUUCCAAAUCUGAUCAAGGUGAUGGUAUUGUAGAUCACUAGUCCCUUCCAAGUCAAGCACUCGUAGAAACCUCAUCUUGUCGGAAAUAAAAAAUGGCUUCCACUCCCCAAACAGAGAUAGCGAUCGUAUUCGGGACACGUCCACUAUGCCCUCGAAUUCACUCUUAUCUCCAUUCCAGUUGCUACUUAUAGCAAGAUGGCGUAUUGGGCCAUGGAUAUUCAUGCUGCAGCCUUCCUCCAGUGUGAAGACUAGGUUCUCCUCCCUUGACUUUGAGAUGGCAAUGUCACGGAUGAGAUCAUGUACUUUGCAAGAGUCAAUUGUUUUCCUGCUGUAAAAUGAUUGCUGAGAUGGUAAAAUCAUGCUUCUGUUCUUGAGUUGCACGAAGUAGUCAUCAGCUAUUUCAAUGGCUGACUUCCCAUGAGUCUCAGCUGAGUAACCUUCUGCUGCCCACCGACGCACCAGACGCCUUCUGCUAAUGUUCAUGUCUUCAAGAAAAAUGGACAGAUAUAAAAAACAAGACUUAAGAUGGUAGGGUAAACCAUCAUAGCUCUUUUCAAGGACAGUUCUUAUCAUUCCAAGCUUUGGAUUCAUCUCUAACUCUGCGUUGAUAUUCUCAUUCAACUGCCGCCAUUCUUCUGCAUUCUUUGGACGGUUUGCCAAGAAGCCACCUAUGACAACUAUUGCAAGAGGAAGUCCACCACACUUUUUUAGGAUUUGUUUUGCUUCUUUAACCAACUCGGGAUUAUUUUGCUCAUCCAAAUAUGUAGCGUCAUCAAAUACCUGAUAUUGGUACAAUUUAAGGUUUAUAGUGCUUAUAAAAAGUACAAAAUUACUAAGCAGAUAUGUUUUUUUACUAUUAAGAUUUAGAAUGAAAUUAAGGUUCGCUGUUACAUACAAAAAGAAAGUCACGUCUAAAAUGCAUAAAGUUCAGGUUAUUUUUGGGAGCUUGUUGAGAAAACAGAUUAAAUAAUAUAUGAAUCUUGUAUUGUCACACACACCCAACACGGGCCGUACUCGUUGGCAGAGAAAAUGGGCCAACCAGGGCCCAACUAGGGGGCGCCACCGCAGCUGCAGCUGGGCUGCCCUUGGAGGGCCGCGCGCCCAAAGAGGGGAGGGGGCGCCAUGCCCGCUGUGGCCGUUGUCUCCAUCUUUGCUAUUUGUGGUUAGCAUAUCUAUCCGCAAUUGGUUUUAGAAAGAGUUUAUUAAGAUAGAAAGUUAAGAGUUUGUUAGAGGAAAGGAGAAUCCAUGUUCGAAAAGGAUCUCCUAGUUUGCUUGCAAGUCAAGUCCUCUAGGGACUAUAAAUACUUAGAGUUAUGUAACAAGAUCAGUAAUACACGAGCGAAAAUCUUUCCCUAUCUCUCUCCUCUCUCUGCCUACGCCGCCGGUGACCGCAUAAGUCACGACUGUUACACCUGGUACCAGGAGACUAGAUUGAUCCCCACACCGCUGCUAUGGCUGAACUAGUUGAGAUCCAAAAGCUCUUCGCUAAUUUCUCCAAGAACGUCAUCGCCAAGAUUGACACCGCCCACUCAUAGAUCGCCGACAUCAACAACCACCUCAACACCAUCGAGAUGAGACGCUUGGCCAAGGACGUGGUUGACGAACUCGAAAGUGAGAAGAAGCUACUCAUCGUCAAGCUGGAGGCCAAGCUCUUCUGCAAGGAGGAGCCCAAACCAGAGAUCCAUCUAGGCAGAGUAGCACCAACCGUGUUCUUAGCACUAGAGAUCUGCCCCCACAAGCUGUCCUUCGUGACAUACGAUGGCAAGGAGGACCUCCUGCCAUGGCUCAACCGUGCGAGCAGUUCUUCAAGGGUCAACAGACCAUAGAGAGCGAAAAAACAUGGUAUGCUUCUUAACAACUAACUAGUGCCACACAACAGUGGUACAUGAGACUUGCAGUACAACGAUGUGAUAAAUUGGGCAUAGUUCACUCUGUGCGUCAAUGAGCGCUUUGGACCUCCAACCGGGCGUAACCCUCUGGGCGAACUCACCUCCCUGAGGAAGACGUGCACCAUCGACGACUACAUAGAGCACUUCCUAGCGCAUGUGGCUUGGGCUAGAAACCUCAACGAAUGCUAGGAGGUCAACAUCUACGCCAUGACCCCCUGGAACCACUAAAGAUAGAUGUCGAGCUGAUCAACCCGUAGGACAUGAAGGCAGCCAUGUCUCCAUCAUGGGCAUAUGAGCCAUCAUAGUGGCACUCGCUUUUAAGCUAGGGCGCCUUCCUCCAUCGAAGGCGACUACAACCAUGACAACAACGACCACACCAACGACAACUAUGAUGGGUGCAUGGCACCAACCCCCCGCCCCUUCAAGCAUCUGACCGUUGAAGAGAUGGCAUUAUGACAUAGCAUCGGCCUCUGCUUCAACUAUGAUGAGCUGUUCUCACGUGGCCACAAGUGCAAGUUGUUGUUUGACAUCACCAUCGUUAAUGACUAUGACCUAGAGGAGGUGACGACAACCUCAUGAUGAUGAUCGACAGGCUCCACAUAGGAGUCCAAGGUGCCUCCCUCAUGUACAUCAAGUGGAUGAUGAAUGGCGCAGGCGUCCUGGUCUUAGUGGAUUUGGGUGCGACACACAACAUCAUCAACAUCAACAUCACCCACUCCAUUGGUCUCUAGGAGCAGCGCAUCAACACAACCAUACUCGUUGGUAGUGGCAAUGAGGUGCCAUGUCAUGGAGCAUCCUUCCAAGUACCACUAUACAUCAGCAACAACUCCUUUGACAUCGACACCUUCCUCCUCAUCAUCGGGAACAAUGUCGAUGUUACUCUUAGCAUGCCUUGGCUAGCUUGCCUCAGGCGUAUUACCUGGGACUACACGAGCAUGGAGAUGCUCUAAUUUCACAAUGGGAAUCCACACACCUUCCACGCAUCCCUUCAUCAUUAGGCGCCAAUAAUGGCGCUUGCACUCCCGGCACCCAACCAAUGGUACAUGAAGAUUGGACUUCACCACUACAACCUCCUCAUAAUGUGAUGAAUAGGUCACAAAGAGCUUGACUCCCAAAUGCCCUCGACCACAUCAAAGGCCCCAAUGACAUCAUCUUCACGCACCUAUACUAGGCUAUCAGAGAGCAGCGUGAGCUCUAUACAAUCGCCAUAGCCAUCAUGCAGGGUCAGGCUUUGAAAUAUUGGCCUUUAGACAAAGGUCUCAUCUUCUUCAAUGGGUGGUUCUACCUACCUACAGCCUUUGACAUUGCUAGUGGCACUAGGAGUGCAAGAGUCACUGACACAAGGACGGUUAACUGGGGUACCCUCCCAUAUUCUCUUGGGUCAUCCCUGGUUACUACAACAUCCUAUAGUGGCAAUGAUGGUGAUCUUCCUCGAUGCAUUCGGCCUUAUAUUCAUGCGCAUUGACAACGUCAACAUCAGGCUUCUUCCAGGCUCCAUCGACCACUGCAUGUGACCAGGAAAACUCGACUUGGGGCCUUUGCUUUGGCUCCAUGUUGGGCCUCAUGACAUCACCACCAACACGCUCGACAAUGAUAGUUUGGCGCCAAGUACAUCGCUCCACUAGUACUAACAUCAACAAUCACAUCCGUGGUUUCAUCACCCCUCCAUGAGUGAUGCUUUGCUUUAGCUCUAGGCCUUGGUACCAUGUCCUCUUCUUGUUGCAGCAAGGGCAGGCACACGGAUGGGAUCUCUAGACAACAUCUUCUACUACCUCUUUGGCUACAUCGGCGACCUCUAGUACUGCUCGAGUUUGCACCACUACAGACAUGUGAGAACAUUAUUCUCACUAAUCCCCUUAGUGGGCCACAUGAUGUGCUACAUGGAGGCCAUUCCACCAUGAAGAGAUCCGCCACCAGAAGGCAUCCAUGAAUGGGUCGCAUGUCAGCACAAGGACACACCGAGCAGGGAAGGGGAGAGUACUGUCAUACUCCCAACAUAGGCCGUACUCGUUGGCAGAGAAAAUGAGCCAACUAGGGCCUAAGUAGGGGGCACCACAACCGCCAUAGCUAGGCUGCCCUAGGAGGGACACAUGCCCAAGAGCAGAAGGGGCACCAUGCCCACCGCCGCCGUCAUCUCCAUCAUUUCUAUUUAUGGUUACCAUAUCUAGUCGUAUUUGGUUUUAGAAAGAGUUUGUGAAGGUAGAAAGUUGAGAGUUUGUUAGAUAGAAGGAAGAAUCUGUGUUUGAUUAGGAUCUUCUAGUUAUCUUGCAAGACAAGUCCCCUAAGGACUAUAAAUACUUAGGGAUAUAUAAUGAGAUCAAUCAAGUAAUAGACGAGCGAAAGCUCUUUCCCUAUCUCUCCUCUCUCUCUUGCACCCCCCUCUCUGCCCUAGUCGCCAUCCCUGCUCUCCAUGCCACUGCCCCUGCCUACACCGUCGGUGACUGCCCCGGUCAUGACUGUUACAUGUAUAGUUUAUUUGUAUAUAUGAAAAAAUUAAUGAAUAAGUCUAAAUUGAACUAUGAGUUUUGAUUUUGGUCAUGAAACUCCUUUGGCCAUCCAACUAUCAAAAUUGUGCAUGUGGCAUCUCUCUCCUCUCCAUGCACAAUCUCUCUUAGCGCCAGUCACUCACAUUUUCAAUUUUAUUAGAGUGUACAACCAAUUUGACCCAGCUUUAGUAGGUGCCCCCUCAGGCCUAGGUCCAUAAUAUCCCCCAACAAAUCAAUGCAUCGGUCCUAACUCAACACAAAAAGAAACUAGUCAGAUUUGUUAUGGUUUUCCCGCACUUGUAUGUUGUACUCUCUCACCAUUAAUUUCCUUAAUAAUGCCCCCAAUCACACAUCGGAUUCAACUCUUUGAAUCACACAGUUCUUAUGUAACCUCUAGAAGAUGUUAUCAAGGCCCCAAGUCCAAUGUUCCAUGUCACAUACAACCCAAGUCCAAAUGCAUCAUGUCACACCCAAUCCAUGUGAUCUCUAAUAUGUUAACAGCCUCCCUCCCCACCAUGAGGUUAGAGAACCCACCAUGUGGGAGAUAAUUUAAACAGGUCUGAAAUAAAAAACAUAAAAAAUAGGUUGGGGUUUUUCCUACUGACUUUGGUAAAAAAAGAUUUUUCAAGCCUUUCAACCAUGGGCUCUGACAUCAGUUCUUACAGUGCACAAUAGAUCUCACCCAUUUCUCACCUAUAUAUGCCCACGAGUCAAUGCCCCUCUAGGCUAGGUCCACUAACAAAUCAAAGAAACAUACCUGACUCAACCUAAAAGACUAGUCUAAUAGAUGAGGCAGGGAGACUGCAAAAAAUGGCUAAUAGAGAUGGGUGUCUGCCAUGCCUAUGUUAAUAUAUUGAAAAUAACAGGGAGAGCCCGUUGACAGGGCCUGCUGAACCAAUCGACAAGGCUCGUCGAGCCCAUUGACUCGGUGCCCCUGCUCAAACACCUAUGUUGCCAUUGCCCGAUGGCACCUCGGGCCUAGAUCUUCCUCCUUUGGUUUGUUCCCAUGUUCAUCACUGCUGAGAUCAUCCCCACGCACACCGAGGGGAGGAGCGGCCUGCCCCUAGGCCACCAGUCGGAGUUACCCGCAAAGUGCACAUCACUGAGUGUGCAUCUAAUUAGUGCCACCAUGGCCAACCUCGCUCCCUCUCCGUGAGUGCACGCCAUGUGCAUUGAGUGCCAUCGCGUGACCUCACCGUUGUGUCUCUAGCACUAUUUCAUCCCCCAUACCCCCACGAUGCGCUUAAGUGCAAGGCCACGUCCCUCCCGAGCUACUCCAUGAUGAGCUCAAGUAGAAGGCCAGGCCCUCCCCAACUACUUAUUUGAGCCUAGGCAUUGCUGGAGAAGGGUUGCCCUCACAAGCUAUUCCCAUCCCCAGCGGCGCACCACACUACCACUUGGAUUUUCCAUGGGCGGUGCCUUUUGCUACUUGAGCAUCGAAUCUAAGCCUGCGGUGAGCUUACAAACACCUUGGACAUCAUCCUCCACCCCUCUUUUGAGCUUGGCCGCGCCAAAUUUGGCCUAUAUGCCCAAUCGUGGCACACCUAGCAUUAGUGUUUGGCCACCGUGUGGGAGAGUAGUGCAAGGUAGCAUGAGUGCACACUAGCUGUAGUGGCCUCCAUAAUUGGUGCCAGGUCCAUGGUGGGUGAUGGUGAUGGUGUGCACCAUGUCCAAGCAUGUAGCUAGCACUCUAGUGGGCAUUGUGGCCGUGUCAAACCAGCGAUGCAAUGGAAAUUAUAGGAGAGAACAGUUGGGAGUGGGGGAGUGGACUGCAGUUUAAGAUGAUGUUGUGGGGAAGAGAAAGAAGAGGGAACAUGAAAUAUGACAUGUGGGCCCAGCUGACACAUGUGGUUCACUAAGCGACAAUCACCAAAUGGUUAGAUGGCCAGUUGUGAACAAUUUUGAUAGUUGAACCGUAAAAAACUUCUGGGUUCAAAGUUUAAUGGUGCAAUCAAUCUCUUAAUGACAAAAAAGGAUUCUGCCAAAAUUAAUGUUAUUUCAUACCAAGAAAAGUGGAGGACAUUUAUGUUACCUUUUCACUCAGGAGGCAAAGUGCAUCAUCUUGCUGAAGAACUUGAAGGUUGCACACAACUCCAUGUUUUCCUGAGCAGUGGUUGGCAAUAUUCUCUUCCCUUGUAGUGAUAAUGAUUCGGCUUGUCUUUUCCAAUAGAGGUAAUAACCUUGGUUUUAUCAAGUCCCAUUCAGAGGUCUCAAAGAAGUCAUCUAGAACAAUCAAAGAACUUUUCUUCUCUAAUAGUCUUUUCAACUCCUCAGUCAACUUGUCGACUUCCAUUGAUGCAAAUGAUUUCUUAUUGUUGAUUCUAUUUUCUAAUAAUUCUUGCUUCUUAGAAGAUCCUUCAUGUAGUUGUCUGGCCAAGCUCCUAAGGAGCUCUUCAAGACUGAAAGGACGCAUAAUUGUGAUGAAAACGUACUUCUCAAACUUGUCACUCAACUUUGGGCUUUGAUAAACACCACCAACUAGGGUGGUUUUCCCAAGGCCACCCAUUCCCCACACAGAGAUCACUUGAACCUGUUGGCUAUUAUCAUUAUUUGAAACUAAGUCUAUAAUUUCAGAUAUUUCUCUAUUUCGUCCGAUAAGUUGCAAUUCCUCCAAAGCACCCAAACACGUCCUGGUACGACUAAGACUCUUUCUAGCCACCUUCUUCUCAUCAGCAUCCAUAUAUUGAUCAUCUGUAAUCUCACCAUGAGGUGCUAUUUGAUCGUCUAUACUUGUGGUUGCCACAUCCAAGAUAGACACUCGCUUCACUGAAUCCUCUCCAUUUGGGGAACCCUAAAUAAAAGAGAGAAAUAUUUAGGAACAACUUUUAGCCUUAAAUUUUCAUGAAAAAUGUUUAGUCUUGUUUUAAGUCAUGAAGGCAUAUAAUACAUUAAUUUUUAUUCAUUUCAUUGGUUUGUACCCUACUCCAAACUUUAGCUUGGGAUCCCAAUUUCAUGACUUAUAUUAGAAUUCUCAAUAAGAUACGUAUUAUAUAAAAUUUAAAGAAAUGUGAUAAGUACAUUAAAUUUAAUCCAAAUGAUGAGAGGAUACAUUUGCUAGAUCAAAGCAUCUUACUAUAAUCUCUAUGAAAUCAAAUACUCCAUAUCAAAAUUAUGUGUAAAAUAGGAGUUUCUUGUGCAAAGAAGACUUGUGCUCGAUUACUUAUAGUUACCAUCUUACAGGUCAUUCUCAUUUUAUAUCUUUCGCUAGCCAGAAAUCUAGAAUAGAAAAUGGCUAUAUUUAGAUAACCAAUUAAAGAAGCUAUUGGAGGAUAAUUUUUCAUCAAAAUAUCUAUUCCUAACCAUUAGGAAGAAUAUAAGUCUCUUAGAGCAUGUCCAAGAGUUCCCAAGAAUUUUAUCCCAAAACUAUCUAUGGUGUUCUCCUACACGCAAAAAAGUAUUAGGAGGAAUCAAUAAGAUCAUCUCCAACAGUUUCCAAUGGUUCACUCCUAAAAUAUAGAAAAAAUUUAUAUCACGAAUCUUAUACUAUAUCUAAAUUAUCCUAACCACCUUUAUAUAUUCUUUGUUUUUUGUACAUUUGUAUCAUGAAACCUUUUUUACUCUUUAUUCUUUCCCGCAUUUCCACCUUUAGAUUGGCCCAAGAACACAGGCAUUUAGGAGAAGAUACAUGUGACCUAGAGUCCGACUAUCUUUACAUGCAAAGGAGAAGGGGUCUACCAAGUUCCAAAAGAUUGGGAGGUCAAUUAGAGAGUUGUUGGAGAUGAUUUUUUUCAUUGUUCCAAAAAUUAUGGGUUGGGAAUUAUUAUUGGGUACUUUUGGAGAUGCUCUUAGAGUUGCUCUUACUCCCACGCACUUCAAUUACCCAACAUAAUUGAAUUAAAAAAAAUAUCUAAAGACAUAUUUUAAUUAUAAUAAUGUCAAGUGGUAUAUGUUGGAACAAUGAUUUUAUAUAUAUAUAUAUAUAUAUAUAUAUAUAUAUAUAUAUAUAUAUAUAUAUAUAUAUAUAUAUAUAUAUAUAUAUAUAUAUAUAUAUAUAUAUAUUACCUUAUCGUAGAAUGCGUAAAGUGUCUGCUCAACAGACAGUUGCUUUAGCUCUGAGGCUUGGCUUUCUUGUCCUGCGCAUAAGCUUGCAACUUCAACUUGUGUGCUUGACACUAUGAUCCGGCUUCCUUUCUUGUUGUUUGGGAAGCAUUUCUUAAUCUGGUCCCACUCUUCAAUGGUGGAAAGGUUAUUAAGCACGAUCAGAAACCUACUACCAUUCACAUAUCCAUUGAAUUCCAUAGCUAGAUCUUGUUCUGUCUUCUCUUUUUCCAACAGAGCUUCAACACCUUGGGUUGCAUGAAGCUGAUUCACCAAGCUCUGGACAAAGUCUUUUGGACUGAAAGGAUGCAUCACUCUUACCCAUGCUCGGGACCGGAAUCUGAUUUGCACAUCUUGGUUGUCAUAAGCCUCCCUGAUUAUCGUUGUUAGGCCCAUAUCACCACUUGUCCCCCAUACAGAUAUCACUUGAAGGUCCUCAUCCUCCUUGUUGAUUAGUUGCACUAGAUCCACUCUCUGAUUGUCCUGCUUUGCGGCACGCCUUGCAUCAUCAAUGCCAAAUAUGGCUGCAGCAGUAAGGCCAGAUUGGUCAGCGGAGGUGGUGGCACCCUUGGAGCUGGAUCCCUUGAUGAGAUGGUACCGCACAUUCCUCUGGCUCACAUCCUCAACCUUGGCUCUGAGCUCCUUCAUCUGCUUGGCUAUACGGCGCCGCUCGAGCAGCGUGCGAGGGAACCGCCAGCAGGAUGGCCUCUUGAGACGAACAGCAAAAUCCUGGAGGCUGUCCUCGACGUCGUAGGCAGUGUCACGAACCUGUUUCACCCAGGUCUUGACCACCUUGUUGUUGUCUCGCUCCUCGUGUGCCUCCAUCAUGAAAGAUCUCAUCAUCUCAAGCUCAUCCGCGACGAAAGUGUGGUCUUUCUGGAUACCGAGCUGCAAGGCCACCUCCUCGGCAAAUGCAGAUUUUGCGUAGCCAAGCGCUCCAUUCAGCACGGACUUGCCCACGCUCAGGGCCGUCGCCUCCAUUGCUCUGUUGUAUCCCUGAAACAUAUGUGGCAGAGGUUGUGCUCACACGGCUGAUGGCAAGUUUAUAAUACCACACAAGAAGCAACACAAACUGUCCCCAGUUUAAAUAAGGCAUCGAGUAAUUUAAGGUGAAAGAGAGGAAACUGACAGGAAUGCGUCAAAUUCCAGGCUACUGGCACUCUGGCAGCAACCUUCGUAUGUAUGAACUUGGACGACGAAGGCAAAUGUGCUGCAAAAUAGGAGUAUGUUGUGAUUAGCAACAAUAAAAAAUCCAACCAUUCGACCGUAUCUGCUGAGUGCUGACUCGGCAGUCAUAGCACCAGUUGACAAAAAAAUUAUUAAAACUUCACCGUCUACUGCAUCCCAAAUUUCUAGACGCUCGAAACGAACUAUCUGCGAGAAACUGACAGAAAUGUGUAAAGUAGUAUACCUUCGGCAGGCGAAGAGCCGCCGGCAAGUUUAGCUUGAAGCCUCACCUACGGCGGAUGCGCAGCUUUGCAGCAGCCGCUCGCCGACGAGCCACCACGCGGCCUGGCUCGCCUCGCCUGACACCGGUCCGCCGUCGCCGGCAGCUCAAUACUCGGUGGUUGUGGUUCUCUGGUCCAGUCGCUGCUGGAUGCCUACUGGGGAGGUCAAGGCUCAAGUCGUCGGGUUGCUUAGAGGAGUGGCGCGCAGCCUGUCCACGACAGCACGAAUAAGGUCCAUAGACGAAGGGGCCCAGCGCGUGUGUCGCAUUAUUGCGUUGCUGUCGCCAAAGCUUGCCCAGGCGCACACACUCAAAUUAGGGAUGGAAAAUAAAAUUGGGUGUCCAAAUUAUCGGACGUCUUUAUCCGUUAUAAUUUGUAAUAUAAAUGUCUAUUUUUGUAGCUUUUUUUUUUAUUAUAGAUGCUAAAUAGAUGUAUCAAAUUUGUUUUUUUUAGUGUUUUUCUCUAUGUGAUUCGAGAUCUAUAUUCGACAAAAAUAUAAAACGUACAGCGAUUAUUUGUAUCCGCGAGGAACAAGAUGUACAUGAAUCUAUUUAAAAAAUUUCUCUGUGAUUAUUUAAUUUUUAUAUUAAUGGCGCAUUAAAACUAUUGACUAGUAUAUAUAAAAUACUUUUUAAUAUUAUUAAUGCUACAUAAAGGUUAAAUUAAUUUAAAUAUUUUCUAAUUUAGAUUAAACCUAAUAUAUUUGUUGUUGUAAAUUAUUUAAUACUUUAAUUUUUUUAUAGUUUCAUUAUAGAUAUUAUAUAGAUUAUGAUUGAUUAAUUGAUAUAUUUAAUUAUUAAAUAUUUAUUGAUAACUAUAUUUAUUGAUAACUAUUUACUUGUAGAGAUUAUACUUUGAAGAACUCAAAAUUUCAACAAAUCAAAAAGAAUUGUGACCUUUGGUCUAACAUCUAAGCCUGUGCCUUGUGACCACAAGUGUUCAUCGGUAAAACUCUUUAACGAUCGAUUAUCUGUCCCUAAUGCAGCUGUUAAAGUGGCUUUUAGUGACUCUAGCUAGUCGAUGCUUUUGAGUUCUGGUGUAGUGAGUUUCCUUAAGCAACUCCAACCCACCUCCUAAACAAGUCCCUAUUCUAAAUCUAGGAACUUUAUUAAAAAAAAUCAACUCCAACCCACCUCCUAUUGGGCUCUCAUUUUUCAUGCCCUCCUUAAUAUAGUUUCAGCCUCUCAUAUCUAGAACCCCCUAUCUGUAACACCCCAAAAUUUGCAAGUUUUCAAAAUAGGAGAAAUGGUUUUAAUUAUGUAUUUUUGAGCUCAUAAAACAUAGGGAAAAUAAUAUUUUUUUUAUUAUAUUAAAAUUUAUUAUAGUGUUUAGCAACAUGACUGAGCAUCCAUGCCGCUGCAUUUUAUUUUGUCUGAGUGGUUGUUUUGAGUUUCAAAAAGGUUCUCAAAAUUUUCUUGAAAACUAAUUAAGCAAAGGUUUGAAAAUAAAAUUGAAAAAGUAUUUAUUUACUCACCUCCCUCUCUCUGGAAAAUCGGCCCGAAGGCCCAGAUCUUUUUCCCCUUGGCCCACUCCCAGUCCUUCCCCUCGGCCCAGCGCGCAAAGGAGCCGCGGCCCAGCUUUAUUUCCUUCCCCCACGGCCUGCUUCCUUCUUCCCCCUCUCUUCUUUCCUUCCCGCGCGGCCCAGAUUCUCGGCCUAGGCUGGAUCGGCCCGUGAGCCGCGCUCUCCACCUCGCUGCCGCCGCUGACGAGCGGGUCCCGCGCCCCGUUUCGGUGCCAGGUGGGACCCAGAGGUCAGGACCGUCCCCUACCUCAGUCCGGGUAGGACACGAGCUCGAGUCGCACCCACCGCGCGCGAUUCGCGCGAGCAAUCCUUGCUCCGCACGUUUGCCCCCUUUAAAUAGCGGCCCCCGCUGCCCCACAACCCCCCUAUCUCAACCCAGCGACAGCCGCCGCGUCAAAGCUCACCAAACUCGCCGCCGAGAUCCGAGCCAAAGUCAUCUCGCCACCGCAGCGCGUUCCAGCCUCCGUGAGCGUCUUGCCGAACCUCGGUUCCGUCUUGCGAAGUCGCCGAAACUCUCGCUUCACGAUUUCGUGCUUUCUGUGCAUCACUAACGCUCGCCGAACUUCGUUUCAGGGCCACCGUCCGCCGAUCGACGUUGCGAGCCCUAAUCGGCCUUCCUUCGUCGCGGAUUUUGCUUUAGGUGAGUUCGCAUCGAGUUCCCGAGCAACCCCGUACCUUUAUCUCGCGCUCUACGGCUCUCUAUCGCCGGAUUGCCCAACUCCGGCCAUCACCGGCCAUGGCGCCGCCGUGAUCGCCUCCAACUCCGGCCGGCUGUCCACUCCCUCCACCCCCGAUCUAAUCUCAACCGUCCAAGUGAGAUCUGACGGCCUAAAUCGAAGGGUGCCCCUUCGGCCGCACUUUUUACAAAAGAACCCCCUGCUUUUUAAGUAUAGGACCCGCAGUCCAUAGCAUAGUCUUAAUAAUACGUUUUCUUAUUUCAAAGGCGUAUUUUCUUUUAUUCAGAUUCAAAAUACGUUUUCACAAAAUUACAAGUUUGCCACUGGUUUUAUAUUGCUCAUAAAAUAUUCGUUUUAACUUCGUUUUGCUCCGUUCAAAUUGCGUUAGAUUCAUAAUCACAAGAUCUACAUGUUAGUCUCACUGUUUUACAAAUUCAAAACUUUUUGUGUUCGUGAUCCUAUUUAAUUAAUUACUUUUCUAAAGAAAAUCUUAGGAAAAUCAUAACUUCUUCGUUAUAGCUCCGAUUUUCGUGAUCUUUACGUCUGUGUGAUCAUAGUGCGAUGUAGAAUUGUUUUAUAAACUUUUUAUCUUUAUUUUCUUCUGUUGGUGUAUUGUUCUAAUUAUAGGUUUGUUUGCUUUGUAUGAUUGCCUCUGGAUGACUGUUGUUGAUGUGAUGACUGAGUUUAGACAGUGAGCUUUUACACGGUGAUCAAGAAAGCAGUUUGUGGAAGGUUUGGAACUAAAAGAAGGAUCUGAGUUUUAAGGCAAGUAUAGCAUGGGAUCAUCCUUGUUUUCUAACAACUUUAAUCACACAAUUCAUAUUGCAUGUGUCUCUUUGCUAAGGAUUUUCUAUUAUUGAUCUUAAACCCUGUCACCUAUGGUUUUGCAUUGGGUAGCUUAUGCUAGUGCUCCACUAAACCAUGAUCUUGUAAUUUGAUUAAUGGAAUAUGCAAUAAACAUUAAAAGAGGACUUUUUAGCAACUUUGGUAAAGAGGGCUGGAGCAUUGGGCUAUCUUAUGGUGCUCUAGUUUCUCUCCAUAAGGACUUAUCUUUAGAUGACCAUCCGGGACGUACAGUACAACUGUGAGGGCUACAUGGCUCUGGCUUUAGCUCAGUAUGAGGACCUUUUCUAGCUUGUUAGUGGUUACCCUUGUUGCGCAAAUGGGGAAUAGCAGACCGUGGAUUCCUGCGGGUGAAUCACAUGGACUGACUAACGAAACCAAGCGGCCCUAACUUGUUAGACGAACCUUUGAAAGGCUUCAUAGUGAACCCUGCCGGUCUUCCUUGGUAGUAGGCUAAGAGGUCGACGGGCCUCGGGCGAAAGGGUAAAUCAUGACUCAUAGUGAAAGUGUACAACCUCUGCAGAGUGUAAAACUGAUAUAUCAGCCGUGCUCACGGUCACGAGCGGCCUUGGACCAAUACAGAAUAAAUGAUCACUAAUGGCAAAUCAUUAAUGGUGUUAUUGAUAAUAUGUUGUUUAUGCUAUUCUUUAUUCACUUUACUUGAUCAUGAGUUUACUACGGGACUUGACAACUUGAUGCUACUCAUAUGCUAAAAUUGUGACAACUAAAAGCUACAUGCAGUUCAACCAGUGUCUAGCCUUUGAGCCUCAUGAACCCCAUGUUAUUCUUGUUGAGUACGAGAUGUACUUACGCUUGCCUUUACAUUUUAUUUGGAUAAAAAUCCCGGGUGGGUACCAGAUUGCUAGUUUGGAGAAGAGUUUAGGCUUGUGCUCAACCAGUCAGUUGUCCCUGUGGAUUUGGAGCUUUCGCCUGAAGAACGGAGUGUCUUUCCACUGUUUGCUAUCUAAGGUUAUAUCUUUUAUACUAAGUUCGUUAUACUUAAGCAUUGUCUAUUGAUAUUACCCCUAUUUGUGGCUAUAUGUGAGGUUUGACUUCCUGGGCUCACAUAUGGUGUGUAUCUGGUUUUGUUCUUAAAACCGGGUGCUACACUAUGCUACUUGUUUAGGAGGUGGGUUGGAGUAGGGUCUUAAUUUGAGCCCCUACUUUUUAUAUCAUAGCAUGUAAAUAAAAAUUUAAGGACUUAAUUUAGGGACUUGGACUGGAGUUGCUCAGAUUUGGCUUCUAGUUUCCUUAGAUACCAUUUCCCGGAAGUUUUUAUAGAUGGCAUCAAAACUACAAUAGUUGUUGUAGGAACUGUGACACCUAAGAGGGAAGGAGGUGACUUAGGCUUUCUAAAACUUUUAUUUUAAACAUGGCCUCUAAUUUCCACUUAACAUAACCUAUGCAAGAAAGUAAUCUAUUGGGAUGUGCAACUAAUGUUUUUCUAAGGGUCUUGCUAUCUCAUCGACCAAAGAGUUAUUGGACCUAUAUUCCAAUCCUAUCAACUAGCCUAUAAAGCUAAACUAAAAUAGUAAGCACCAACUUAUAUACUUAAUGUAAAGUGUAGACGGUUAAUUAAGAUAGAAAUGCAAACUCUCGUUGAAAACUCUAGUAUUUUCAAUAAGAUAUUGAUAACCUCAUGCUUCCCUGGAAUCCUUGUCAGAGCCCCUCGCAAGGGUCAAACUCCCGGUUAGGUAAUCCUGUGGAGCCCGAGGACCUUCCCUACACACUAGUGGGUCUUAGCUAGGCCUUCCUCUAGACUCCUCUCUGUCGUCGUCACUAUCGAGCUUCUAGCCAAAUUGUCGUGGACCUCGUUCCCUCUAGUACAUGAUGGCGGCCGCAUCACAAACAUGGUUUGGUGUGAUCUAGCAAGACUAUAAGCUUCUCUGAGUACAACAAUGAUGCGCGCAAAGCAUCGAGUGGUGAGAGGUGUGCAAAACAUACUAAACACUAGGACUAAAUCUAGAGCAAAUGCAUAAAGAAGUGGUUUGACUAGACUAAGCACUAUUGCUAAUAACCUAUUCUUCUCUUAAGCGCAUAUGGCGGCUGUAACACCCUAAAAAUUGCUUCUUUUUAAAUAGUUGAAAUUUGAUUUUUUUUAUAUAUAGUUAAUUUUUGUGAGCAACAAAAUAUAGGGAAAAUAAAUAAAUUUUUGGAAAAUAAAAUUUAAUAUAAAUUAGAAACACAUUGAUGCAUUCAUGCUGCAGCACUUAUUUUUGUGAUGUGUGAAUUUCUUCAAAAGAAAAUUUUGUUCAAAAUUCAAAUUGAAAAUGCUUUUGAAAAUGAGUUUAAAAAUAAAAAUAAAAUCUCUCUUCCCCCCUCCUCUCUCACUUUUGGCCUGCUCGGCCCAAUCCCCCGCGCCCUCCCCCCUUUCUCACUUUGGGCCUGGCCCAACCAGCCACUCCACCUCCCUCCCUCUCCCUCUCGCCGACAAGUGGGGCCCGCUGGUCAGUUUCAUCCUCUCCAACCGCCCCCUCCCUCUCCCCUUUCUCUGCUGCAGGAACCACCGGCCACAAGUCUCCUCCCCCGCUCCCACGUUCUCCUUGCCCCGCUCCUCGCCCAUUUGAGCCGCGCGCGCUAGAGCCGCUCUCCCCCUUCCCCAUUUCUUUUCCCCUCACCCCCUUUUUCCGCGCGCAAGCGCAGUAGACCGCCGUGACCGGCCGCGCGUCGCCCCUGCGAUUUGAGCCGCCAUUGUCUCCGUUUUCGCCGUGGUGAGCAUCACCUUCUCCCCCUCUUUCUCCCCGUACUUCCCUUGCGUCAUUUCGUGGCUCCCGGAGCCGCGUUCUUCGUGCUCCGACGAGCUCCAUGGCCGCCGGCCAUGGAGCAAGCCGCUCGGGCCUCUCCCCGGCCACGCCGAGGCCGGGAUCGAGUUCGUGUACUCCUCCUCUUCCUUCCGGUAAUCGCGGUUUCGAUUUUGGUGCACCGCAGCGCGCGAAUGACGAACUCCGGCGAGCCUCCGGCGAUGGCGCCGCCGCGGCCGUUCUCUGCUCCGGCGAGGAGGCCGGCCACCCUUUCCCUGGAGCGAUCUAAGCCGUCCAUUUGAAAUCCGAUGGCCGAAAUUAGCCCAUACCCUUAUAGCCUGGAAACUUUCUAAAGAGCCCCUCGGUUUUCUGAGAUUAGAACCCGCGGUCCAAAGCGCCUUGCAGGAGUACGUUUUCUUCUUUUGAAAACGUAAAAGCUUUCGGGUUAAAUCAAAAUACGUUUUCAGUAUUUACUAAAUUGUCACUGGAUUUGUUUAGCUCAUAAAAUGUUCGUUUAAACUCCGAUUUAACCCGUUCAAAUUGCGUUAGAUUAGUAAUCACGAGAUCUACGUGUUAGUAAACUUGGUUUAACAAUUUGAAACAUUUUAAUUUUGUGACCCUAUUUAAUUAAUUACUUUUCUAUAUAAAAUCUUAGAAAAUUCAUAUCUUGUCCGUUUUAGCUCCGAUUCGAUCUGUUCAAGUUGCGUUAGUUUCAUAAUUUCAUAAGCUUCGCGUUGUACCUUUGUUGGCUAGAUUCACCACUGCUAGAUUUCCUAGUUAAAUACAAGUCCAUAGAUAGCCUUUGCAGUCCCGUUUAAUACGUAGAUUUCACAUCGUAACUCCGUUUUCCGUGAAUUUUCCGUUGACGUGAUUGUAGCAGCGUGUAGAUGAUUUUGGAAAACCUUUAUUUAAAUUUAUUUACUGCUGGUGUACUGUUCUAAUUGUAAUCUUGUUUGCUUCGUGUAUGGCUGUCUCCGAUUGUUUGUGUGUUGAUGAUCGAUGAUCGAGAUUAGACAGUGGGCAUUACUUCGGUGAUCGAGAACAGAGCCUUGGAAGAAAGUAAGACUAGCAGGGCCAGUAGGAGCAAUUGGAUCAAGGCAAGUAUAGCAUUUGGGUUUUAAUUCUAUGACUAUGAUCUUGUGACUGGAUUAAUAUAAAGCAACAAAUGAUAAUAAUGACUUUUAGCAACUUGAGGAUUUAUUCGUAAGUGAUAACCGGGAUGAAAGUGCAACCAUGAGGGCUAUGAUGGCUUUGGCUUUAGUCAAGUAUGAGUAAUUUUUCUAGCUUGUUAGAGGUUACCCGUGUGGCGCAAAUAGGGGAUAGCAGACCGUGGAUCCCCUGCGGGGUAGAAUCACACGGACUGACUACCGAAACCAAGCGGCCCUAACUUGUUAGACGAACCUUUUAAAGACUUCAUAGUGAUCCCUGCCGACCUACCCUGGUAGUGGGUUACGAGGCUGAUCAUCUCGGGCGAAAGGGUAAAUCAUGACUCAUGGGUAAAGAUGUACAACCUCUGCAGAAUGUUAAAACUGGUAUACUAGCCGUGCUCAUGGUUACGAGCGGCCUUGGGGAUUCUUACAUUAAGGGUGAUGAAUCUUGUUAUGUUAAGAAACUUAUUGAUUAUUGUUUAAUGUUCUAUAUUAUUUAUGUCACAUUAAUCAUGAGACCGUGGGAUCUAUACUAUCUAGUUGUUAUACUUGCGGAGUUCGUCUUGGACUCACUCUUGCUAUCUCCCCCACACCUCAGGUGAAGUAUUGGGCUUGUGAUCAACCAGUCAGUUGGAUCCUGUAGAGUGAAGUUAACACCUGAAGUUUGGAGUUAUCUCUCGUGGUUUGCUGCCUAAGGUUGAUUCUGAUUUAUUAUGUACGCUAUAUAAUUUAUGCGUUGUCCUUUGAUAUUACCCCUUAUUUGUAGCUAUAUGUGAGAUUUGUCUUCUAAAACUCAGAUAUAGUGCAUAUCUAAUUUUGUUUUUAAAAUCGGGUGUUACACGGCUAGAGGACUUGGUAGUGUGUAUCCACACUCCUACAACAUUAGCUCUCGAAUCUCUUCAGAAGAGCAGCCAUGGGGUGUAUAUAGCCCCUAAAGAAGAAAAAUUGUUUAGGUUUUUGUGUACUCACCAGAAAGCUUUGGUGGUAAUACCUGAUAAAUCUGGUGCUGCUACGUGACCAUUAGAUUUGUUACCGCUGGGCAGAUUUUGCCUUUUUUUUCCAUAAAUUUGAAUGAAAGUGAUAUAAUUAUGCCGAGGGCCCACUCCAGACCCUUGGCAAAGAGAGGAGUUGCCGAGGGCAGGCUGGCGGGCCCUCGGCAAAGCAUGACCUCCGGCAGAGCUUUGCCGAGGGCUUAACUACGGGCGCUCGGCAAUGCCUAACGCCCAGAGCCGCCGUUACUCUGGACCCACACCGCCGAGCGCCCCUUCUUUGCCGAGGGCCGGCCCUCGGCAAAGAUGGGCCUUGACCGAGGGCUUUUAUCUGCCGAUGGCCUGGCCCUCGGCGAAGAAGCCUUUGCCGAAGGUCGCUCUUUGCCGAGGACUGGCCCUCGGUAAAAAUAUCCUUUGCCGAGUGUCCGAAAUCCGGCCCUCGGCAAAAUAAAUGACCCUCGGUAGCGUUGCGUAGUGCGUGCACAUCUAAACAUAGCACAAGUAAUAUCCCUUUUGAUUUAAAAUCCAUCAUAAAGCUAGGUACAUGUUUGAGCAUACAUGAUGGUGUAUCGGAUUUAUUGUACUGCGUAGAUUUGACUGAAAUUCAAAACUGAUUUAAAAUCAUUUGAAAAAGGCUUUGAAAUAAAAGAAAAAAAAUUCUAAACACCGCAAACUCACUCUUUUAGCCCAAGAACCCCAGUUGUUGAAACCAAGUCUCUCUCAGCUCAAGCUUUCCCGGGCUGCUGUGCCUUCUCCCGCUAGGCGCAGGCGCAGCUCCUGCAGCCCAGUUCAGCAAUCAGCUGGACAUGCCCUACGUAUUCCCUCUCCCGCAGCUCAUUCCUCUCCUCUCAGGUUGGCCCCCGAUGAAGCCGACGUGGCCAGACCAACCGGCAGCCUAGUGGAAGCCGCCUGCAUGCACAAUCUCUUCCUCUCGCUCUCUGCUGUGCGCUUUGCCUUGCGGACAUAUGGCCAGAGAGCAACCAAGCCACCUAGACAAGCGUUGUCGUACCGCGAGCGAGCAUCUGCCAUGGUCAAAACCGAGGCCGAAAACCAGAUCCCAACGUGAAUCCAGCGAAGAGCAUCAUUCCUGCCAUGGCGCCCCGCCGUGAACUCGCGCACUUGUGUAGAGUUCUUCUAGUAUUUUUAAUUAGUAAUAAAAUACUACAACUAGUAAUAACACUAGAAAAUCCUCGCUAGGAGACAUUUAUUAGGGAAAGAAAGUUUGUACCAAAUUUUGAAUAUUAAAAUACUAGAAGAAGCCCACAUUACUAGGAGAAGUGGAAAAUUUUGGUUGUGCGCAGCACCGGCGACCUCAACAACCCGCCCCUCGACCGCAGCCGUCCGAUUUAGAUCUGACGCUCUGAUGAGCAGCACUUGUUGCUAUAUAUGCUUGCAUGUAAAAAGUCAGAGGACAAAGAUUGAUAUAUAGAGGUCCUCGAUCGAUCGGACAAAGCCCUAGUGACAAGCAAGUUUCAGCGUCAGCCAUGCCCACCCUCAGGCCUAGUUUACCUUGAGCUUUGUCCGUGCCUUUAUCAUGAUCUUUUUGUAUUACUUCACCUCUUUGUUUUCGUAGAACCGUUCACAUAUUUUCGUUGGUUCGCCGAGCAACAAUCUCAACAAGAGACGAUCCCAAGCAUGAAUAUGGAAAAGAAGCUAAGGUCAACGAAUUACCUUGAGAGCUGACAAUUUCCUUGAGUGUCAAAAUAGAACUGACAAGGAAAGUUUCCUUGCUGUGGACAUCGACCUCCAAGAAAAUAUAUAUUUCUUGAGAGUCGAAGCAAACCGCCAAAUAAGGAUAUUUCCUUGGCAGGUCCUAAGUACCUCCACAGAAAUUUACUAAUUUUCUUGAAUGUAAUUAUAAAUAGUUAAACUACUAUUUCAUUGAGUGCUAUUCUUAACCGAUAAGGAAAAUAUCUUUUUUUCUUGGGUGUUAUUCUAAACCGUCAAGUAAAUUGUCAUUUUUUUGGGUUAUUUAAUAUCCUUGGAGGUUGGCACCCAAUGAAAUGCUUAUAAGUACUUGAUAUAUAUUUUGGUAACCUGAUAGAAAAAAUAAUAAUAUCUUAAAGGUGUCUAAAAUUCUAAAAUUUGCCAUGAGGUCAUAAUAUGAUUAUAUUAUGUUGCCAUAAAUUUUCCAAAUCAUAUUAAUAAAGUCAGAUAUACAUUAUUCACAUGGUCACAUCUCUCAUAUAGUUACACAACUAUUUGAGACUAUGUGUUACAUCUCUUACUUAGUGAAAUAAUGCCUGGGCUUCAUGUAAGCAUACAUGAUGAAUUGACUUGUAAUAUUCUUGUGGAUGUAAAAAAAAUAUCAUGGUUGUAAUUGAUAGUAAAAGGUUUAUAUUAAUGUUAUGUGCCGGUGACUAAAAUCAUGAAAAUUGUUGAUCAUGACAACAUUUUUUUGUUUCGCAGCAAGAAUUUCCUUGAGGGUCAGCCCCCAAGGAAAUCACAAUUUCACAGGUGGCGGUGCCUAUCGGAUGAGCAUGGAAUGAGAACAGAGUGCUGGUUUGAAAAGCCAUGACUAAAAGUACUGUUCACUAAUUUAUUAUGAGAAAAUAACACUGUUGGCUGGCAGAAAAAGUAUAAUUUACAAGACAAGUGAACGGAGCCUUAAGGUGAUGAUAAUUUAUUCGUAGCAUCUGCAUCUCGAGCACAAAAACUAAGUUUGGAGAUGAAACUAAUUAAUUAAUUAGCUAAAGUGGACGACCUUUUCAGAAUGGGAUAUAUACUUCGUUGUUUGUACCAUCCUGUUUUUAAUCUCAUGUGAAGAACGACACAGACUAACUUUAAUUUGCUGUACAUAUCUUCGUCACAACCUUUCACUGCCAUAGAAAGCACUUACACCAAUAACUCAUUAAAAAUCCGCUUAGGCCCCGUUUGGAUCCUUAUUGAUUUCAUUAGAAUAAUUAUAAUUUAGACAUAGAUUAUUUAAGCUAAUAUGGUUGUUGUGGAUUAUAUUUGUAUAUUAUUAUUAGCCAUACAGGGGAGAUAAUUAUAUGUUAUAUUUUUAGUAUAGGAAAGCGAAUUGAAGAGCGUGCUAUAAGUUGUAAAGUAGAAAUAUAUAGCAUGGUGAUCUAUAGAAUUAAUUUUCAUCUCCCAUUCUAUAAAUUUGAGAAAGUUUAGAUGUGAUCUUGAAAAAGAUGUGAAAUAUUAAAUUCCAAGCCAAAUAUCCUAAUCCAUUAAGUAGAUUCCAAUUCCUCCAAAAUGAAACGAUUCAAAUGGCCCCUUAUAAUAAUAUAUCAACAACUACUGCUAACAUAACCAACGGUAAUAAAAAUCAUUUUCUCCAAGGUUUCAUAGUACGAGCCAACGGUUCAAAAUAAAAAACAUUUUGACCAAGAGCACUCCAAGAGCUUGGUUAAAAUUAGUAUCUAAAUUCCAUUGUUUAGUCAUUUUGUAAAAUCGAAAACUUCUUAAAAAAGAAGAGGUCCACAACAGCCUUGCUAUUUUACAAAAUCAGCUAGCUAGUGUCAUUAGAGCAACUCCAACAGAUAUGCUAUCCAUGUUAUCUAGCCUAUUUUUAUAUUUUCAAAGUGAAAAUUAAAGUCCAACAGGUGUGCUAUUUGGUUUGCUAAAAUAGUAAGUUUGGUAUUCCUAAACUUUCGCUUGUCAUAUAUAGCAUAUCGUCCUCACUAGCUAUCCUAUACAAAGGCUGUUGUGGAACUCUAUGCUUUGAGUGAGUUUUUUAUUUUACACAAUGGCUAAAUCUUGUAGUUUAGAAUAUAAUUUUACCUAGUCUCUUGGAGAUGCUCUUAGAGCAACUCCAACAGCUUUGCUAUUCUUAUUAUGAAGGCUUUUUAGAACUUGUAUAGCGGAAAAAUAGACUCCAACAGAUGUGCUAUUUGGUUUUAUAAAAUAGAAAGUUUGCUAUUCCUCGAUUUUCGUUGGCCAUAUAUAGCCAACCACUGACACUAGCUAUCUGAUAGCAAGGCUGUUGUGGACCUCUUCUUUUUUAAGAAGUUUUCUAUUUUACAAAAUGGCUAAACAUUAGAAUUUGGCUACUAAUUUUAGCCAAGCUCUUGGAGAUGCUCUUAGUUGGCUAUAUAUAGCAACCGAAAAUCAAGGGAUAGCCAACUUUCUAUUUUACAAAAGUAGAUAGCACAGCUGUUGGAGUCUAUCUUUUGCUUUGCAAAUUCUAAAAUAGUCUCCACAACAAAAAAAAAUAGCCAAGCUGUAAACAAGUAGUUGAAUGGGCCAUAUAAAUAAUGCCAUUGGAUUCUUGUCUCGUAAAAGUAUCUCCAAUCAAUUGAUAAUACAGCGAAACCAAGAAUAAACAGGUAGAGGUAAGAAGCCCCAAUUCUAAUAAUACUUGUUUACAAAACAUGCGCAUGCAGGCAGAAACAUACAGGUACAUCACCAAACAUUUGUAACACAAAACUGAACAAGAUACAUGCCCACCACCAGGGAAUGGCGGCACGAGCAUUGGUACGCACCCCACGUAGGUACCAUAUUGGACUUGGACCCACCUGGAUGUUGCUACCAGCAGGCAGCCCGACCGCUGAUCUUCAACCUCGCACGGAUCAUCAUGUGGCUGCGAAAGACACAGAUACAAGGCUGAUAUAUCAUAAAGCGUUUCUUAGUUGCCCUAAAGAACUUUGGUGACUUCUUGUGGAUCUAUCUAUCUAUAUAUUAGAGUCGCACAAAAUAGCAAACGUAACAUACCUGUUUCAGACGUACUCAGUCCAACGUCACAAUGGGUUGGUUUGUAUUCUGAGCUAGCUGUUCCUGGAUUUUCUUCUUGAGCUCACCUUUCUUGCGCCUUUCUUCCUGCCGUUCUUCCUCAUAUAUCUUGUCCCGAGUCUCAUGAUCCCGAGCGGCACUUAUCCUGUCCCAAUCCAAAGGAAAGUAAACUCCGACCUGGACCUUGUUGAUGCUUGGGAGAAAUCCUAGCCCAGAAAAAACAAUUUCAUUGUUUGCUUCCCCUGUGACCUUCGUCAAAUUUGACUGAUUUGAUUCCUGACACUGAAAGCGUAAGCACCCUGAGGAUUCCAAAUGCUAUUCCGCCCUGUGGAGAUUUGAAAUCAAGUUCUUCACACUGAAACGAUGACCCUGACACAACUAGAAUUUCCAGGCUCGGUAGUUUGCCAAGGAAUUCCAUAGCAGCAUCGUGCUCCAAUAGCUUAGGGCCUGCUAGUUUCAACUUCACCAGAUGCUGGAGCUCCAUGAUCCAUACCGGCAACUUUUCCAGAUUGCCAUACAGCUUGAGGCUCUGCAGGUUUUUUGGAGGUGAGGAUAUCUCAUCCAAGCAACCACAAAAACCUGCUGAACGCGCCGACAGCGAUUCUAGUCUGCUGAGUUUGGAAAUGGCCGAGCAAAACGCUCGGCCAUUCUUCUUGUUGAUGCCAGUCACUCCUAACUUGCGCAAUCCUGUGAGCCUUCCAAUGUCUUGUAGAACGUUCUUUUCCCUCCAGAUAUCCACUUCCCUUAGUGUGUGCAUGUCUUUAAGUUUUCUGAUCCCCCUUGGCACCAGAACACCUUUUUUAUCUUCUUCGGUCACGACUAAAAGGAAUUCCACGCAGCAAGUUAAAGUAAGGUCCUUACAGCUGGGGCCAUCAAUGCUCGAAAGAAGAGGUAAGCAAUAUGUCGCACAAACAAACGCCCCGCCAAGACACCUCUUCAUUAAACUAUCAAUUUCGCCCAGUGGGUCAUGUGAUUUUCUUCCAGCAUGGAUGUACUGUAGCUUCUGAAGUUUGAUGAUGGUUUCUGGCAGAUCCUUUACCCUUGUAUUUCUGACGUCUAAUGUUUGGAGUUGCCUUAGGUUGCCCAAUGAAUCUGACAGAAAAUCAAUAUCCCUGCAUCCUCAUAGAGAAAGGUACUUUAGGUGAAUAAGCUUCCAAAUCUGAUCAAGGUGAUGGUAUUGUAGACCAUUAGUCCCUUCCAAGUCAAGCACUCGUAGAAACCUCAUCUUGUCAGAAAUGAAAAAUGGCUUCCACCAACCAAACACAGAUAGUGAUCGUAUUCGGGACAUGUCCACUAUGCCCUCGAAUUCAAUCUUAUCCCCAUUCCAGUUGCUACUGAUAGCAAGAUGGCGUAUUGGGCCAUGGAUAUUCAUGCUGCAGCCUUCCUCCAGUGUGAAGACAAGGUUCUCCUCCCUUGACUUUGAGAUGGCAAUGUCACGGAUGAGAUCAUGUACUUUGCAAGAGUCAAUUGAUUUCCUGCUGUAAACUGAUUGCUGAGAUGGUAAAAUCAUGCUUCUGUUCUUGAGUUCCACGAAGUAGUCAUCAGCUAUCUCAAUGGCCGGCUUCCCAUGAGUCUCAGCUGAGUAACCUUCCGCUGCCCACCGACACGCCAGACGCCUUCUGCUAAUGUUCAUGUCUUCAGGGAAAAUGGACAGAUAUAAAAAACAAGACUUAAGAUGGUAGGGUAAACCAUCAUAGCUCUUUUCAAGGGCAGUUCUUAUCAUUCCAAGCUUUGGAUUCAUCUCUAACUCCGCGUUGAUGUUCUCAUUCAACUGCCGCCAUUCUUCUGCAUUCUUUGGACGGUUUGCCAAGAAGCCACCUAUGACAACUAUUGCAAGAGGAAGUCCACCACACUUCUUUAGGAUUUGUUUUGCUUCUUUGACCAACUCGGGAUUAUUUUGCUCAUUCAAAUAUGUAGCGUCAUCAAAUACCUGAUAUUGAUACAAUUUAAGAUUUAUAGUGCUUAUAAAAAGUAUAAAAUUACUAAGCAUAGAUAUGCUUUUUUUUACUAGUAAGAUUUUAGAAUGAAAGGUUGGCUGCUACAUACAAAAGAAAGUCACAUCUAAAAUGCAUGAAGUUCAGGUCAUUUUUGGGAGCAUGUUGAGAGAACAAAUUAAAUAAUAUAUGAAUCUUGUAUUAUCACACACCCAACACGGGCCGUACUCGUCGAUGGAGAAAAUGGGCCAACCAGGGCCCAAGCAGGGGGCGCCACCGCCGCCGCAGCUGGGCUGCCCUAGGAGGGGCGCACACCCAAGAGGGUAGGGGCGCCAUGCCUACCACUUUCGUCGUCUCCGUCUUUGCUAUCUGUGGUUACCAUAUCUAGUCGCAAUUGGUUUUAGAAAGAGUUUAUUCAGAUAGAAAGUUGAGUGUUUGUUAGAUGGAAAAGAGAAUCUACGUUCGAUAAGAAUCUCCUAGUUUGCUUGCAAGUCAAGUCCCCUAGGGACUAUAAAUACUUAGGGAUAUGUAACGAGAUCAAUCAAGUAAUAGACGAGUGAAAGCCGUUUCCCUAUCUAUCUUCUCUCUCUCUCUCUCUCUCUCUCUCCACCCCCUCUCCCUACCCUAGCCGCGCCACCCUUGCCUACACCGUCAGUGACCGCCUCGGUCAUGACUGUUACACCUAGUAUCCAGAGACCAUAUUGAUCGCCAUGCUGCUACUAUGGCUAAAUUAGCUGAGAUCCAAAAGCUCAACGCUAAUUUAUCCAAAGACAUUAUUGCCAAGAUCGACACUGUCCACUCACAGAUUACCGACGUCAACAGCCACCUCAACACCAUCGAGACGAGAUGCUCAGACAAGGACAUGGUUGACGAGCUUGAGCGUGGGAAGCAGCUACUCUCCAUCAAGCUAGAUGACCACCAGAGAUGCAAUGGCGAAAUCUAGUUGUGACUUCAUCAAGGUGUAGACCGGAACUCGCCACCAAGCUAGAGGCUAAGCUCUUCUGCAAGGAGCCCAAACCAGAGAUCCAUCUAGGUAGAGUAGCACCAACCACGUUCUCAGCAAUGGAGAUCCAUCCCCACAUGUUGUCCUUCAUGACAUACGAUGGCAAGGAGGACCCCUGCCACGGAUCAACAGUGAGAGCUAUUCUUUGGUCAAUGGAGCCCAGAGAGAAAAAACAUGGCAUGCUUCUUACCAUCUAACUAGUGCCGCACAAUAGUGGUACAUGAGACUCUUACAGGAUGAUGAUGUGACAAACUAGGCAUAGUUUGCUCAGUGCGUCAAUGAGCGCUUUGGAACCUCCCAUGAAGCGUAACCCUCUGGGUGAUCUCACCUCCCUAUGCAAGACGAGAACCAUCAACGAAUACAUGGAGCGCUUCCUAGUGCACGUGGCUUAGGCUGGCAACCUCGACAAACGCUAGCAAGUCGACAUCUACAUCGCUGGCCUCCUAGAACCACUAAAUAUGGAUGUCGAGCUGCUCAACCCGCAGGACAUGAAGACGGCCAUGUCUCUAUCAUAGGCAUAUAAGCGACAUUUAGCGGUCGUCAAUGAAGCCAACAAGGCAUCGGCUUUUAAGCUAGGGUGACUUCCUCCACCGAAGGUGACUACAACCAUGAUAACAACGACAACACCUACGACAACUAUGAUGGGUGCCACGGCACCAACACCCCGCCCCUUCAAGCAUCUUACCGAUAAAGAGAUGGCGGUACAAUGUAGCGUUGGUCUCUGCUUCAGCUGUGAUGAGUUGUUGUCAUGUGGCCACAAGUGCAAAUUGUUGUUCGACAACACCAUUGUUAACAACUAUGACCUGGAGGAGGCUGAUGAUAGCCUCAUGAUGAUGAUCGGCAGGCUCCACAUAGGAGUCCAAGGCGCCUCCCUCAUGUACAUCGAGUGGAUGAUGAAUUACACAGGCGGUCUUAGUGGAUUUGUGUGUGACACAUAACGUCAUCAACAUCAACAUCGCCCGCUCCUUUGGUCUCUAGGAUCAGUGCAUCAACAUAACCAUACUCGUUGGCAACAACAAUGAGGUGCCAUGCCAUGGAGCAUCCUUCCAAGUACCACUAUGCAUCGGUAGCGACUCCUUUGACAUCGACGCCUUCCUCUUCGACAUUAGCAACAUCAUCCAUGUCAUUCUCGGCAUGCCUUGGCUAGCUAACUUCGAGCGUAUAACCUGGGACUUCAUCAGCAUGGAGAUGCUCUACUUCUACAACAGGCAUCCAAACACCUUCUAUGGCUCCCUUUGUCAUCAGGUGCUAAUAAUGGUGCUUGCACUCCUGGCACCCCCACUAAAGGUAUGUGAAAGAUCAAACUUCACCACUACAACCUCCUUGUAAUGUGAUGAACAGGUCAGAGCUUGACUCCCCAAUGCCCUCGACCUCUUUGAAGACCCCAAUGGCAUCAUGCUCACGCACCUACGCUAGGCUGUCAGAGAGCAGCAUGAGCUCUAUACAAUCACUAUGGCCAUCAUGGAGGGCCAGGUUGUGAAUGCUUGGUCUUUAGACAAAGGUCUCAUCUUCUUUGAUGGGUGAUUCUACCUACCUACAACCUUGGUGUCACUACUGAGCCUUUUAUAGGUUUGUUGACAUGGUGGUUCCGCUAGCAUGGAGCUGCUAGCAUUGGGAGCGCAUGAACCACCGACACAAAGAAGGAUAGUUAACUGGGGUACCCUCCCAUAUUAUCUUGGGUCAUCCCUAGUUACUAUGACAUCCUAUAGUGGCAAAGAUGGUGAUCUUCCUCGACACAUUCGACCUUGGACCAUCCGUGUCGACAACAUCAACAUCGGGCUUCAUCUAGGCUCCAUCGACCACCGCAUGUCACCAGGCAAAUUCAACCGAGGGGCCUUCGUCUUUGGCGCCAUCUUGGACCUCAUGACAUCACCACCAACACGCUCAACAAUGACAAUUUGGUGCCAAGUACAACUCUCCUCUAGCAUCGACAUCAACAACCACAUCCAUGGUUUCAUCACCCCUCCACGAGUGAUGCUUUUCUUCAGCUUCCAGGCCUCGGUACCAUGUCCUCUUCUUGUUGCAGCAAGGGCAGGCACACAAAUGGGAUCUUCAGGCAACAUCUUCUACUACCUCUUUGGCUACAUCGGCAACCUCUAGUACUGCUUUGAGUUUGCACCAGUAUGGGCAUGCGAGAACAUUAUUCUCACUAAUCCCCUUAGUGGCCACGUUAUGUGCUACUUGGAGGAGGUCCAACACGAGGAGAUCUGCCACCAAAAGGAGUCAACGAAUGGGUCACAUGUCAGCACGAGGAGGCGUCGAGCGGAGGAGAGAGUACUGUCACAUGCCCAACAUAGGCCAUACUUGUUGGUGGAGAAAAUGGGCCAACCAGGGCCCUAGCGGGAGGCACCAUUGCUGCCACAGCUAGGCUGCCCUAGGAGGGGCACACGCCCAAGAGCGGAAGAGGCACCAUGCCCGCCACCACUAUCGUCUCCAUAAUUGCUACCUAUGGUUACCAUAUCUAGUUGUAGUUGGUUUUAGAAAGAGUUUGUUAAGAUAGAAAGUUGAGAGUUUAUUAGAUGGAAAGGAGAAUCCGUGUUCAAUUAGGAUCUUGUAGUUUGCUUGCAAAUCAAGUCCUCUAGGGACUAUAACUACUUAGGGAUAUGUAACGAGAUCAAUCAAGUAAUGGAUGAGCGAAAGCUCUUUCCCUAUCUCUCUUCUCUCUCUCUUGUGCGCCGCCCCCUCUCUCUGCCCUAGCUACUGUCCUAGCUCUCCAUGCUGUCGCCCCUGCUUACACUAUUGUUGACCGCCCCGAUCACAACUAUUACAUGUAUAGUCUAUUUGUAUAUAUGAAAAAAUUAAUGAAGAAAAUUUUCAAUCAUUAAACUAUGAGUUUUUAUUCUAGUCAUGAAACUCCUUUGGCCAUCCAACUAUCAGAACCGUGCAUGCAGCAUCUCUCUCUCUCUCCAUGCGCAAUCUCUCUCAGCGAAAAUCACUCACAUUUUAAAUUUUAUUAGAGUGUAUAGCCAAUCUGACCCAGCUUGAGUAGGUGCCCCCUUAGGCCUAGGUCCACAAGAGCCCCCAACAAAUCAAUGCAUCGGGCCUAACUCAACACAAAAAACUAGUCAGAUAUGUGAUGGUUUUCCCUCACUUAUAUGUUGUACUCUCCCACCAUCAAUUUCCCUAGCAAUGUCCCCCAUCACACAUCAGACUCAACUCUUCGAAUCACACAAUUCUUAUGUAACCUCUAGAAGAUGUUAUCAAGGCCCCGAGUCUAACGCUCCAUGUCACAUACAACCCGAGUCCAAAUGCUUCAUGUCACACACAAUCCAUGUGAUCUUCAAGAUGUUAACGGGCUUCCUCACCACCACAUGGCCCCUAAGAUUUGUGGUUAGAGCACUUGGGCAACAUCUAGCAAACCUACAUUCGACUCUAUGUGGGAACGAAUUUAAAUAGGUCUAGAAUAAAAAACAUAAAAAAUUGGUUGGGGUUUUCCUGUAGACUUUGGUAAAGAAAAGAUUUUUCAAGCCUUUCGACCAUGAACUCUAACAUCAAUUCUUAGAGUGCAUAACAGAUCUAUUCCAGUUCUCACCUAUACCCACAAGUCAGUGCCCCUCUAUGCCAGGUCCACUAAUAAAUCAAAGAAAUAAAGCUAACUCAACCUAAACGACUAGUCUGAUAGAUUGGGAGAACCGUAAAAAAUGGCUAACAGAGAUGGGUGUGUCCCAUGCCUAUGUUAAUAAAUUAAAAAUAAUAGAGAGAGCCUGUCGACGGGGCCUGCUAAGCCAAUCCACAAGGCUCGCCGAGCACAUUGACUUGGUGCCCCUGCCCAAACACCUAUCUCACCAUUGCCUGAUAGCGCCUCAGGCCUAGAUCUUCCUCCUCUGGCUUGUUCCCAUCUACAUCGCCACUGAGAGCAGCCCCACGCACGCCAAGGUUAGGAGCGGCCUGCCCCUGUGCUGCUGGUCAGAGUUGCCCACAAAGUGCACAUCACUGAGCGUGCAUGUAAUUAGUGCCACCAUGGCCGACCUCGCUCCCUCUCCAUGAGUGCACUCCAUGUGCAUUGAGUACCAUCACGUGACCUUAUCAGCAUGUCUCUAGCACUAUUUCUUCCCUCCAUGAUGAGCUCAAGUGCAAGGCCACGACCCUCCCAAACUACUCCACGAUGAGCUCAAGUGCAAGGCCAGGCCCUCCACAACUACUUAUUUGAGCCAAGGCAUUGCUGGAGCCGGGUUGCCCUCACAAGCUAUUCACAUUCCCAGUGGCGCACCACACUACCACUUGGAUUUUCCAUGGGCGACAACUUUCACUGCUUAUCCAUUGAAUCUGAGCCUGUUGUGAGCUUACAAACACCUUGGACAUCAUCCUCCACCCCUCUUUUGAGCUUGGCCAUGCCAAAUUUGGCCUAUAUGCCCAAUCAUGGCAAUCCUAGCAUCAGCGUUUGGCCACCGUGUGGGAGGGAAGUGCAAGGGAGCACGAGUGCACACUAGCUACAGUGGCCUCCGCAGUUGGAGCCAAGUUCAUGGUGGGUGAUGGUGUGCACCAUGUCCAAGCAUGUAGCUAGCACUCUAGUGAGCAUUGUGGCCGGGUUAAACCAGUGAUGCAAUGGAAAUUAUAGGAGAGAACAGUUGGGAGAGAGGGAGAGGACUGCAGUUUAAGAGGAUGUUGUGGGGAAGAGAACAUGAAAUAUGACAUGUGGGCCCAGCUAACAUGUGUGGUUCACUAAGCGAAAAUAGCUAGAUCUCUAGUUGUUAACAAUUUUGAUAGUGGAACUGUAAAAAAACUUUUGGGUUUGAAGUUUCAUGGCACUAAUCAAUCUCUUAAUGAUAAAAAAAUGGAUUUUCCCGAAAUCAGUGCUAUUUCAAACCAAGAAAAGUGGAGGACAUUUAUGUUACCUUUUCACUCAAGAGGCAAAGUGCAUCAUCUGGCUCAAGAACUUGAAGGUUGCACACAACUCCAUGUUUUCCUGAGCAGUGGUAAGCAAUAUUCUCCUCCCUCGUAGUGAUAAUGAUUCGGCUCGUCUUUUCCAAUAGAGGUAAUAACUUUGGUUUUAUCAAGUCCCAUUCAGAGGUCUCAAAGAAAUCAUCUAGAACAAUCAAAGAACUUUUCUUCUCUAAUAGUCUUUUCAACUCCUCAGUCAACUUGUCGACGUCCAUCAAUGCUAAUGAUUUCUUAUUGUUGUUUCCAUUUUUUAAUAGUUCUUGCUUCUUAGAAGAUUCUUCAUGUAAUUGUCUGGCCAAGCUCCUAAGGAACUCUUCAAGAUUGAAAGGACGCAUAAUUGUGAUGAAAACGUACUUCUCAAACAUGUCACUCAACUUUGGGCUUUGAUAAACACCACCAACUAGGGUGGUUUUCCCAAGGCCACCCAUUCCCCACACAGAGAUCACCUGAACUUGUUGGCUAUUAUCACUAUUUGAAACUAAGUCUAUAAUUUUAGAUAUUUCUCUGUUUCGCCCGAUAAGUUGCAAUUCCUCCAAACCACUCACACGCGUCCUAGUGCGACUAAGACUCUUUUUAGCCACCUUCUUCUCAUCAGCAUCCAUAGAUUGAUCAUCUGUAAUCUCACCAUGAGGUGCUAUUUGAUUGUCGGUACUUGUGGUUGCCACAUCCAAGAUAGAAACUUGCUUCACCAAAUCCUCUCCAUUUUGGGAACCCUAAAUAAAAGAGAGAAAUAUUUAGGAACAACUUUUAGCCUUCAAUUUUCAUGAACAAUAUUUAGUUUGUUUUCAGUCAUGAAAGCUUAUCAUUAGUUUGUACCCUACUCCAAACCUUAGCUUGGGAUCCAAAUUUUCAUGACUUAUAUUAGAAUUCUCAAUAAUACAUGUAUUAUAUGAAAUUUAAAGAAAUAAAUUUAAUCCAAAUGACGAGAGGAUACAUUUGCUAUAUCAAACCAUCUUACUAUAAUCUCUAUGAGAUAGAGGAAAAUAUAUCUACCUGGAUAUGAAAUCAAAUACUCCAUAUCAAAAUUAUGUGUAAAAUAGGAGCUUCAAAUUUAAUUGUGCAAUAGACCUGUGCUCGAUUACUUACAGGUACUAUCUUGCAGGUCAAUCUGUUAACCAGUCUACUACAUCCUAUACAUUAUAUUAAUUUGAGGCAAGACAUCUAAUUUAUUUACCUGGUAUAAUUAAGAUCACUGAAUAUGAAGGCAUGCAAUAGACCUGUGCUCGAUUACUUACAGGUACCAUCUCCUUUUCUAGCAUGCGCUAGCUAAAUUCUAAGGCCUUGUUUAGUUCUAAAAAAAUUUCAAGAUUUCCCGUCACAUCGACUCUUACGGCAUAUGCAUGAAGUAUUAAAUUUAGACGAAAAUAAAAACUAAUUACACAGUUUGUCUGUAAAUCGCGAGAUGAAUCUUUUGACCCUAAUUAGUCUAUGA
rnacentral:lncRNA from 1 species